AUGUCCAACUCCACAAAAUAAUCACACAGAAUCCCACAAAAUCAUAGACUCCAUCACGUUUUUCUAAUCUACAUGCAUUUCUUAUAUUAAUUCAGUCAAAUUACCAAAAAGCUUAUUAAUCCUUCUCUCUAUUUGUUUUUCUGUUUCUUUUCCUUUUUUUUUUUCGUUUUUUUUUUCCUUGUGUGCCUCUAUUAGUUAUAAUAAAAUGAUGCAAGUUCCACCACCACGUCCAUCAAUCUCCCCUUUUUACCACCAUUCUUUCAUAUAGUAUACAUACACCGAGCCAAGCCUUCUCGAUGCCGCCGCCACCACCACCUAUCGGAUUAUAUACAAAACGUUGCCCGGAUUAUUUACUUCUGCGCACCAGAAGUCCCUUGUCUCCGCGGCAACCAGUGUGACUCUAGAAGAAAAUGUGAAGAAAAGAAGAACCCAAGGAAGAGAGCUGGGGGACAUGUCGUCGGAGAUCGCCAAGCGCGAGCAGCCCAGCCCCGAUCUAAAGCUGGCUGCUCGUUCGCCUCCGACGAGAGCUUGCCCCCAGUUUUGCCCACACCAAAAACGAUGGGCGUUUCUCCCUCUUCCUCCCGACUGUGAUCCAAGUGAUAGAUCCAAUCCUAUACCUGUUCAAACUCCUGCACACUACUUGUCUAGUAGUUCUCCUACAACCCCUGCCCGAGACCCCGAUUGUACACACCAGUCAAACCAUCCUCCUCCAAAGUAACCAUUUUCCUGUCCACCACCACCUCCUCCACCUUUGUUCUUCCUGUUCUUAAGUUACCCUCAGAAAUCCAAGUUGAGGAUCCUGCGCAGUCCUCGAGUGGCCGCCUCCGUGUCCAUGAUCCUGGCAAACUCGGCCUGCACCGCCAGCAUCUCCGGCUUCCUCAGCGAGAAGUUUGGAAUCGGGAGAGAGCUGGGCGGAGGCGAGUUUGUGAAGGCCGGCCCGGCCCACUUCUCGUCGAACAAUGGCGGAGGAUAAAAGGCCUCGCCAAAGUUCCGGGCAAACGGGCCACCACACCCAUCGCUUACGACGUUGUUGUUGUUGUUGUUGUUAGCAGCUCCGACUGGUUCUUCUAAAACUUUCGUUGUUCUCGUUGAUGAAUCUACAGUAGUAGUAGUAGUAGUAGUAGCAGCCACCUUGGUAGCCUUCUUCUCCUCCUCUUUCUCCUCCUCCUUCACUAAAACACCACCUCGUUGUUCUUCCUUCUUCGUCUCUAGAGCGGCGGCGGCGGCGACGAUUUGGGCCACCACCUUGACGACUUUGACGGACUUGGCAGUCCUAGCAGCACCGUCACGCUGCCUGUUCUUCGCGACAACUCCAGCACCCGCUUUCACCACCGGAUCAUCCGCCCUCUUGCUCGAACCCUUCACAGCGGCGUUCUCGGGAGCCGAAAGCCCGUUCUUUGCAUACACCUCCGACAGUGGGAGCCCGGUGAUCUUGGCCAGAUCGCGCAUUGCGGCUUCCUUGGACUGCGGGCGCUGCAAAAUCGUGAUUUUGGGUGGCGACUCCUCCUUCCUGGUGCCACCCUUGUCCUUCUUGACAAAACCCAUCUUUGAUUUGGGCUUCGGGGCGAUUCCAUUCUCCCCGACCUUGCUGCCCUUGGUUUUAUUGCUGCCGUUGCCUCCUUUGCCAGAAACCUUGGUAUUCCCUUUCGCGUUCUUGGAAGGGGAAGAUCUCCCCUUUGGAGGUUGAUUCUGGUUCUGGGACAAUCGGCCGCUGGCAGUGGACGGCCGCGCAUCCGCCGUCCGAGAGAGUGCAACGGGAGAAAGAGGGGAAAAAUCGGUCACGGAACUCGUUCGCUGGAUGGAUCUAGACGCUGGCGACGAGAGAUCUGCCUUGUGAUACCUGGGAGGAGUGGAGCGCGGGGAGAAGAGAUCCAUAACACUGCGCUUCUGCCAAUACUGGUGCUGUGAUAGCUGAUCUUGCGACGGCAGCACCAAUGUCUCCAUAAUCUCUAGCAAUUCUAUCAAGCGCCUUCCUUCCCUCAACUCUGAUGAUCAUGCCACUGGCAAACAAAAGAAUAAAAAACCUAGCCGCCAUAGCCAAAGGACGCCAUAGCCAAGUAACCGUGCCCGUCGCCAGCAUAUUCCGCUACGUUUGCCGACGCGUAAAGAUAUUCCACGCAUCGCCGGUCAAGCUCCAGCCGCGUGGCACCGCGCCUUUGAAAAAGUUUCGCCGACGGCGACCGACCACGUGUCGCACGGCGAUUGUGUGCACUGCUAAGUGUCGUUAGCUGGCGAUUACAUUAAUCUACAUCCGCGUUUAUACGUAAAUUUACAUUAAAUACACCACAUUUUAUAUCUCCAAGACUUGACACGCAACCAGCUCGACGCGGCCAAAGCUCUUGCUCGCGAUCACCGUCCACGAUUCCGCCUCGGAAUCCCCCGCGCCACGCCCGCCGUCGAUCUCCGCCCGCAGAAUGGUCACGUUGUUCCCGGCGUCCUUGGUCACCACAUGAAGGCCGCUCCUCAGGCACCCGAGCAAGUAUGGCGACUCCGACUCGGUGGAGAGAUCCAAGACCAUGGGCACCUUCCGCACCACCACCCUCCAGCAAUCCUGCUCGAAGUCAUACACCUUGAUCUUGCUGCCCUCGGCGGUGCUCAUCGGAUCCAGCGAGAACAAGCUCCCGUUCACCACCACGCUCAGCUUCAUCCCGGCCUGGCGAGCCGGCCACCCCUCGCCCAUCCCGCGCGGCAUCUCCUCCCACCUCCCGGACACCGGAUCAAACACCUCGCCACCAACGUCCACGAAGAAGGGCCACGAGUAAAGCGACUGCGGCACCCACAGCUUCCCCCGGAACGCCGCCAUCCCGGUGGCGAUGGGCUUGAGUAUGUCCGUCACGAACGCCGUGGGAAGAACUUGGGCGCCCACGAACGGCAUGCUGGGGAUCGCGCUCCAGGCGUCGGCCUCCGGAUCGUAAACCUCCGCCGACUGGAGUGGAGUGAGGCCAUUCCGGCCACGGUUCACGCCACCCACAGCGUACAAGUUGCCAUCCACCAGCCCCGUCUUGCAGUAAGCUCGCGCGGUCCCCAUGGCGGCGGCCUUGCUCCAGGAGUUUGUCCGCGGAUCGUACUUCCACACCGAGGACGUCGCCGAGGCCUUGGAGAAUCCCCCCAGGACGAACAGGCAGCCGUGGAGCUCCGCCGCCGAGCAGCCGAAGAAUGGGAUCCUCUCGGAGGAGUCCUUCUUCCCAAACAGCGACCUCACCAUCCCGGAGAUGGAAGAGCCGAGCUCCCACAAGCUCCAUCCGGCGAGAUCUCUUUCCUGCUGCUGCUGGCGAUGGUGCUGGUGAUGAUCCACGUCGGGCAUGGGCGGCAAUCUCCGCCACUGGGCCGUGAGUGGAUCAAGCGCAAACCACACCAAUUCCUCCUCCUUGUCUUUCAUGAGCACGUAGAGCCACUCCUCCACCACGCCCAGCUCGCGCCUCAGCCGGAAGAUCUCGCUCGAGCUCAUGACCUGCCGCCACGAGCUACACACGAGCUUCAUCGCCGGAUGCCGCGAGCGCGGCACCCGCGCCAGGGCGUGCAUCGCGACCUCGUCCGGAAGCCCUGGAAUCAACUGCCACUGGUGCUCCCCCGCGAUGCGCCUCUGGCGCUUCGAAGAGUCGCCGCUGCUGCCGAUCGAAGGAAUGGCCGCUGCAUUACCGGCGCCUCCAGGCCGGGAAUUCCCUCCCGGAUCCGCAGAGCUCCAAGAGGCGCCCAUGGAUUUCCUGCGCGAAAACCCUGCGCGCCGUGCCCGGCGAUGGAUCCAGGAAUGCCUAGAGGAGGAAUCCUUACAUGGCGCUCGCGGAUCGCUGGCCCUCGCUUAGGGUUUUUGGCCCGGGGAUUCGAACAAGCAAAUGCACAAAAUAUCCUCUGUUUUUAGGGUUCUUCUCAAAAUAUCCUCUGUUUUAGGGCUCUUGUGAAAUCCCCUGUUUCAAGAACUUUGAUCUUCUUCGUCGUCGCCUUGAUCUUCCUCGAUUUCUUCUUCACCAUCCUCGUCCUCCUCCUCCUCCUCCUCGCUUUCAUCGCUUUCUUCUUCUUCUUCCUCCAGCUGCGAUUUCACACCAUAGCUUUGAUUCAAGUAGUCGAUCCCCGAGCUCGUGAAGAGGAUCUUGUCCGCGCGAAGAACAUCGUAGAGAUUCAGGCUCCGCGGCGUCAGCAUCUUCACCGUCUUGAUGUUCCUGCUCGAUUUCUCCAGGAAAUCGUUCACAUUAGUCGCGAAGAUGAGCGAGUGCUUGCUCACGUCCACGCCCCAUCUCUCCAUCGCCGCCAGGAAGAACUUCGUCUUGGGCUCCGUAAAUUUCUCUUCGAAGUCCUCCACCGCGAUGGAAUCCACCGCCGCGCUCUGGAGAGCCGUGCUGAUCGCGAGCCUCUUCUCCUUCUUGUUGAUCUUGAUCCCCCAGUCCUUGGGCUUGGGCCCAAACACGAUCCCUCCGCCAGGCCGCAGUGGCGUUCGCUGCGAUCCCCGGCGCGCUCUUCCCGUCCCCUUCUGCUUGUAGGGCUUCCUCCCUCCUCCGCGAACCUCCGCCCUCGUCUUGGUCGACGCUGUGCCGCGCCGGCGAUUCUGGAGCUCCGUGAUCACGCCCCUGUGGACCAAUCCCCGGGCCGUGUGAGCGCUGGCGACCUUGAGAUCCAGGAACACCGAGCCCGUGCACUCGCCAUCGAAGGAGAAGAGGGGCAGCGUCGCUCCUCCCGACGAGGAAGCCGCCCUAAUCGUCGCGUUCCGCCGGGAUCGCUCCACAUUCUGUGGCGCUGGCGCUGGAAUGGCUGCUGGGCUCUGGAAGAACGAGGAUCUCACGCUCAAUCCCUCGUAGACGACGCACCUGGGAUUCCAUGCCGGGGAGAGCGUCGUCGCCAUAGCCAUUAGGGUUCUUGGCAGGGGAUAAGGCAAUCUGGACCGUUGGAAUUCAAACCAGAAUGCCGCUCUUCACCGUCCGAUCGCGGCGGGAAGAAUGGGAGAACGAUCCCUUCUCGACGAAGAACGAGCUCUCCUCGCAGCUACUGUCAGAUCCGCGGGGAAUUCCAAAAGCUUGGCUCGAGGAAGAGAGAUCCACUGCCAGAUCCUCGCCUCCCCGCACGCCCACAGCAGAUUUCUCAGCAAUCUCCUCAUCGAGAUGUAUGGGAAAUGCGGCAGCGUCGAGGACGCCGAGGCCGUCUACGAGCGAAUUCGCGAGCCCAAUCUCUUCACCAACAACAUCCUGAUCGCGUGCUACGCCAGGAACGGGCAAUUCCACCGCGCGGAGUCUCUCUUCGAUCGGAUGCCCCAGAAAGAUUCCGUGUCGUGGACAGCGAUGAUCACGGCCUAUUCCAACGCAGCAAAGAUCGACCUCGCGAAAAAUCUCUUUGAUCGCAUCCCAGUCCCCAGCCCAGAGUCAUGGAACGCCCUCGCCUCAGCAUAUACUCAAAAUGGGCAAUUUGAUAGAGCGCUCGAUCUUCUCAACAAAAUGCCCAAUAAAGAUUUAGUGUCAUGGAAUUCUAUCAUAACAGGUCUAGCCCAAAGCGGGCAGAUCGAACUCGCGAGAAAGGUGUUUGAUCAAAUGGAAAGAAAGAACAUUGUCUCCUGGAACACCAUAAUCACGGCAUAUGCCCAAAGUCGGGAUCAUUCUCAAGCCAAGAGCCUCUUUGAUCGAAUGCCAGAGAGGAAUUCCACAUCCUGGAACGUCCUCAUCACGUCAUACACAGAGAGGGGAGACCUCAAUCGUGCUAAAACUCUUUUCGAUUCAAUGCCCAAGAGCGAUGAUCUCACUGCCUGGAACUCAAUGCUCGCCGGCUAUGCCGCACGGGGCAAUCUCCAAGAAUCCAUCGCCCUAUUCCAGCGGAUGCCCGCGAAAGAUACCACCUCGUGGACCAAUCUUGUCCUUUCACACAUCAGUAGGGGUGAUCUCCGCGGCGCACAAACAACAUACCAGCAAAUGCCCCAAAAAUCCACACACUCAUCCACCACAAUCCUCACCGCUUUUGCCCAGCGCGGAGAUCUCACCUCCGCCGAAUACAUCUUCACCCACAUAACACCGCCGGACACGGCCGCCCGCAACGCGAUGCUCGCGGCAUAUUCGCUCAACGGUCACCUGGAAGAUGCCCGGCGAAUAUUCGACGCCAUGCCCGACCGGGACGCUAUCUCCUGGACCUCGCUCAUCUCCGCCUACGCGGCGCGCUCGGAGGCGCUGGUGCUCUUCGCGAGGAUGGAUCUGGAGGGCGCCGCGAUCGAUCGAGUCGCGCUCGUUGCCAUCGCCGACGCCUGCGCGGACCUCUCACGGGGGAGGAUGAUCCACUCGGAGAUCCGUGCCAUGGGCUUCCACCGCGACCGCCGGGUGGGCACCGCGCUGAUCACGAUGUACUCUCGGUCCGGCAGCUUGGAGGAGGCGGCGUUGAUCUUCGAGGAUUUGCCCGAGAGAGACGCCCAGUGCUGGAACUCGAUGAUGGCGGCGUAUGCCCAGCUCGGGCAUAUCAUCCAGGCCGUCCGUCUCGCCCAACUCAUGUGCCUCGACGGUGUGAGAUGGGACGGAGUGACGCUGCUGUGCCUCCUCUCGAGCUGCAGCCAUGGAGGAGCCUUCCAGAUCGGGUACGAGCUCUUCCGCUCGGCAAGCACGGAUUUUUCCGUCGCGAGGGGCGCGGAUCACUACGGCUGCAUGGUCGAUCUCCUGGGACGAGCCGGAUGGAUGGAGCAAGCCCAGGAGCUGCUGGACUCGAUGCCUUUCGUGCCAGAUCUCGCGGCCUGGACGAGCUUCAUAACUUCCGGAGUAACACAUCACGGCACCAAAGUUUCCAGAUCUGGCCAAGCCAUUGUUUCGCAAAGCUGAUCAUCGCUCAUCCUGCAAGAGCACACAAUCAUUAGUAAAGAGAGAGAAAGAAUGCUAAACUUCCAGAAACCACGCGUACCUGGAAAGUCUGCCAUUUCAUGAUCACCACCAUGCCUUUUAUGUCGAAGGCUCUCAUAACUGGUGUCCUGCCCCUGUCGCGCUGACGCUGCCGCUGCUGCUAUCCGACGGCUCCAGGAUUUCCAUCAAGUCGGCACAGUCGAUCGACACUAUCCAGUUCUCCUGCUUCACUUGCUUGAGCUUGUCCACAACCUCGCGCAUGCUCGGCCUGUCCCCGAGCGACGAGCUCGUACACAUGAGUGCCGCCUUGAGCACCAGCAGCAUCUCCAGCCUCUCCGUCCGGGACACCUUUUGGAGCAGCGGGUCGAUGAGAUCGUCCACGCUCGCCUUCUGGCUGAUCCUCAGCCGCACCCAGCUUACAAUGUCCACGCCGUCUGGAAAAGUUGGAUCCACAGGGAGCUUGCCAGUCACCAGCUCCAUGAGAACCACUCCAAAGCUGUAGAUGUCCGUCUUCUCCGACGCACGCAUUGUGUACGCGUACUCUGCAAGGAAACAGAAAGCCAUGAGAACACCGCUGGAUAGAUAGAGAACUUGCAAAUCUAAACAGCAAGGAGAAAAAACGGAAGAACAGGCAACAGGCAUAAUAGCACUUCGACACAAUGAAGAAACAUUACGGAAGUACGUACCUGGAGCGAUGUAACCAUAGGAUCCCGCGAAAACGGACAGUGUGUGAGAGCUGCUGCUGCUGUCAAUGAUCUUGGCCAGGCCAAAGUCGCCUAGGUGCGGCUCAUCCCGGGAGUCCAGCAAGACGUUGUUGGACUUGAUAUCACGAUGAACGAUCCGCGGAGCACAGUCGUGAUGCAAGUAAGCGAUCCCUUCGGCAAUACCAACGGCAAUCCGGUGUCUCGACUCCCAAUCUAAAACACCCGCAUUGUUCUUCUCGGUACAGGCCGACCCGUGUAACCGAUCAAACAAGCUUCCGUUGGGCAUGUAGUCGUAGACGAGCAAGUUGACGCCUUUGUGCGAACAGAAGCCGACGAGGCGGACGAGGUGCCUGUGCCGGAUCUUGCCCAGAGUCGAGACCUCGCGGAGAAAGCUCUUGUCCUGCGUCGGAUCUCCAUCUCCGGCGACGUCAACUUUCUUCACGGCCAGAACUUCGCCCGAUGGUAGAAUCGCCUUAUACACUGUUCCGAAUCCACCACUUCCGAUGAUGUUGAGAUCGCUGAGCGAGUCCGUGGCUUGCAUCAGAUCGCUGAAAGUGAGCUGCCUGCUGAGCAUCGGGAACAACCUGUGAUCCUUGUAGAACUUUGUGGAAGCAGCGAGACGAAUCCUGCCACGGUCUCGCUUGUAGAAGACGAGAAUAUAGAUGGCGGAUCCCAGAGUGACGAGAGCGACGAGCGAGCACACCAGCGACGCGAUUAGAACGAUCCGGUGUUUUUUUCGAUGAGGUGGCCUGCUUCCGCUGGAAGUCGUAGAGCCCGGAUCGCUGGACGAACCUUUGCAUGCUGGGAGGAGAAUGACUUUGCUCUUGCUGGAAGUGGACGAGGAUGACAAACUCUCGCUGCAAAGAUCCCUGUUGUUGGAGAAGGAACUCUGCGUCAUUCGAUCGAAGACCGGGCCGCUAGGAACAGGCCCCGAGAGGUUGUUGGACGAGAGGUUGAGCGACAAGAGGCUGAUCAUGUUGUUCGCCAGGGACUCCGGGAUCGUUCCAGAGAUCGCGUUGCUGGACAGAUUCAAGACCUCCAGCUUGGAGAGCAUGCCGAGCUCCGGAGGGAUGCUGCCGUUGAGCCGAUUGAAGCUAAGAUCCAGCGACGUUUGCAAGUUCUGGAGCUUUCCCAGCUCUCGCGGGAUCCCGCCCUGGAGACUGUUGCGGGAGAGGUUUACCUCGAGCAGCAAUCCACAGUUUCCAAUGGACGCUGGAAUCUGCCCCUCCAGAUCGUUCCCUUGGAGCUCCAAGAACUGGAGCGACUGGAGAAUCCCUAGCGCCGCCGGAAUCCUCCCGCUCAGCCUGUUCUCCGCGAGCUUGAGCGUCGAGAUUUUGGGGCAGCCGCUGAUGAUCGAGCCAGGGAUUUCGCCGAUGAGCUCGUUCUGGGACAGAUCAAGCUCCCCCAGCUGCUUGAGGCCGCCGAUCUCCUCUGGAAUCCUACCUUGGAGCCGAUUUCCAUUCAGCUUGAUGUGCGUGAGAUUCUUGCAGCUCGCGAGAAUCGAUGGAAUGGCCCCGGCCAAGCGAUUGAAGCUGAGAUCCACGAAAGAGAGAGCCGUGAUGUUCCCCAGCUCCGCCGGAAUCAAACCCUCGAUCUUGUUCCCGCCCAAACGAAGCCUCCACAGAGUUGAGGAUAUUCCCAGGCUAGGAGGGAUAUUCCCGCCAAUGCCAUUGUCCGUUAGAUCAAGAACCUGGAGCGCGCCCGACGAUCCAAGAAGUGGAGGGAUUUUCCCGCCGAGGAGAUUAUCGGAGAGAUUGAUCGUCGUGAGGUUGUGGCAGCAGCUGGCGAUGGAUUCCGGCACGGCACCAGUGAGAUUGUUCUGGUAGAGCAGCAGCAUCUCCAGAUCGGCCAUGGCGCUCGUUAGGUCUUGGGGAAUCGCCCCGGAGAGGCUGUUCUCCGCAAGAUCGAGCUUGCGCAUCUUGGCGCACCUCGCCAUAGGCGCCGGGAUCGAUCCAGACAGCCGAUUCCUUCGCAGAUGGAGAAACGUGAGCGCGCCAAGGCCGCCGAUCGAGCUAGGGAUGGCGCCGUCGAGGAGAUUCUCGGAGAGAUCCAGCAACGUCAGCUUGGAGCAGCUACCGAUCGAGGCUGGAAUAUUGCCGCUGAGCUUAUUGCGGUAGAGGUAGAGCUCAUCGAGCUGCUCGAGCGAGCCGAUCGAGGCCGGGAUGGAUCCGUUGAGCUGGUUCUCAUACAGCGCCAGCACUGCCAGGUUCUUGCAUGAUCCGAUCUCCUCCGGUAUCGACCCCGUCAGUGAAUUCGAUUGGAGCACCAGGUCCGUGAGCAUCGAUAAUCUCCCGAUCGACGCCGGGAUCGUCCCUGUGAGCCGAUUGCUCGAGAGAUCCAGCCGCUGCAAGCUCCUGCAUUCCCCGAUCUCUCCAGGAAUCUCGCCGCUGAGCCGGUUGGAUCCCAGGAAGAGCUGCUCCAGCCUCGCCAGGCCACCGAUCGAGGACGGGAUUUCUCCUGAUAGUUGAUUCAUCGAUAGCGCCAAGUUCUCCAGGCUAGCCAAGCUUCCAAUCCAGUCCGGGAUGGGCCCCGAGAUGGAAUUCUCGGAUAGAUCCAGCGUCUCCAGCGCCGCGAGCUUGGCCAGGGAGUCGGGCAGCUGGCCCGUGAGAUCGUUGCCCUGAAGAUUGAGGUAGACGAGCUGACGGCACUGCCCGACCUCCUCGGGGACGCUACCGGACAGCGAGUUAUUAAAUAUGGAGAGCGUUUGAAGAGCCGCGAGGUCCGAGAUGCCGCGCGGUAUGGGGCCGGUGAGGCGAUUUUCGGACAGCCCGAGGACGGUGAGCUGGCGGCACUGUGUGACCUCGGGCGGUAUACCGCCGGAGAGGUUGUUGUAAUGGAGCAUCAGCGACUCGAGGGCGACGAGCUGGCCGAUGCCGCGCGGUAUGCCGCCGGAGAGCUCGCAGUUGGCGAGGCCCAGGAUCUGGAGAGAGUGGAGGCCUGCGAUCGAGUCUGGGAUUGGGCCGGAGAAGAGAUUGUCGCCUGCGCGGAGGACUUGGAGCGUGGAGAGGCGGCCGAUCUCGCUGGGAAUGGAGCCCGAGAGCAAAUUGGAGUAGACGAGGAGCUCGGUCAGUAGCGUGGCGUUGGCGAUGGAAGCUGGGAGUGGUCCUGUGAGGCUGUUCUCGUUGAGGCGCAGGCUGCGAAGGCUGGCGGGUAAUUGCGAAGGCAUCGGCCCCGAAAAGGAGUUAUUGGAGAGAUCGAGAAGCUCCAGCUUGUCGAGGUGGGCGAUUGCCGACGAGGAGAUCGAGCCGGUGAGAGACGUGGAGGUGAGAUUGAUGGCGGUGACUCGAGCGUGAUCACUGCAGGAAAUCCCGGACCACGAACAGGGGUCGCUGCUGCUGGUGCUGCCAUUUCGGUGACGAUCCGGAGGAAUCCAGUCGCCGGUGGCGUUCAAAGGGUCGGCUUGGAACCCGGCCUUGAGCUCCAGCAGCCAUUGCAAGUCCGGCGAGGAAGAAGCUCCAGUGGCAGCGAUCGCGAAGAAGGUGGCCAGAGCAGCGAAGAAGACCAUCGAGCCCAUCGGUGAUCGCUCCCUCAAAACCGAGCUACAUUGCGAACGCGAUCUACACACGGACAGAGCUCAAUCACUACUCUCGAAUCUUCAGUGACACCACUUACCAGGACGAUUCUCCUUGGUGACCUUUCCAGAGUUCUUGGCGGAAGAGCGAGCGGAGAUUUUUUUCCAGUGGAAGAAUAAUCUUGACGAAGAUGACCUUGGAGGAGGAAUGAAGGCGCAGACUCAAAGAAAGCGGUGGGUGAAACGCAUCAAAGUCCAAUGCGAUUUCAACGCGCCAGCAUUGAAUGAAAGGGUUUGGUGUCACCCCAGAGCAGCAAAUGCCUGCGUCGGGCAACGCAAAACCAUGGCAAGCAAAGGCUCUCUUUCUCGUCGCUCCUGUUUUUUUUCUCCUUAGUAUUUAUCGCGCCCUCCAGCCUGUCCGGGUUCGAAUCCGUCCAAGCGCAGGGGAUUUUGCUUUUCUGUUAAGCCGUUUCCAGUCAACUUUUUAGGUUUGAACUUGUUUUUGUCCCUUUAGGGUUUUUGCGAAUGAUAAAGCUGUCUCUUCUCUGUGGCUAGCUUUUGAAGACUUCGUGUUUUAGGUGGGGACUUCCUUUUGACAGUGAAGAAAGACGAAGAAGAUGGUGAAUUCUUACAAUGUCAAUGCAUUGCCAGAGCUAAGAUUGAGAUUGCUAUAGAAGUAGCAACAUAGCGGAGAAUGCGCUUAUAAUUCUUCUGAGACCUAGACAUCCAUGAUCGAAUUGGAAUCGGGAAUAUUCUCUUGUUGCCAUCAACUUUUGACCGACCAAGUUGGCCAAGAACCAGAAUCCCCGCUGACCGGCUCGGGAUUAGCAAAUCUCGUUUUCUUUAUUAUUAUCAUAGAUAGUUCUUUGCCUUCGAUCUCACUCCACCGGGGAAAAAGAGCGGCAAAAAAAAAACCAUAGGGAAUCUAACGAAAUGUCUAAACAAGAAACAUGUAUAAUCAUCACAUGAAUGUUGGUUCUAUUCCAUUCCUUAAAAGCCUAUCAAUCCAACACAAAACUCCAUAUCAAAAGCUUAUUAUACGUUUUGCGCAGCAUCGCGAUCCGCCAGCGCUCGAGGCGCGUGCCGCAUUCACUCGAGAGCGGGGAUAUUCGCGGGAAUCCUCACGUGCUCACUUGAAUGUACACGCUAGACAAGACCCCUGGGGAAUAUUCGCCGCCGCCUGGCGGGGCAUCGCUUUUGGCCAGGUGUCCGCCGUGCACGCGCAAUCAUAAAUUGUGGCCGGAAUAUGACGGAAUGUGUGCGACACGUCGCUCUUCCGGCAGGUGGGGUGCCACGCCACGCCCACGUGUCACUGCCACGUCAUGGUGCCUGGCCAGAAGUGGCAUCGCAUGGUUGCACCAUCAUGGGGCCCCAUUCCAUAAGAAGCCUCGUGCGCGCGCAUGCAUGGGCAUGGCAUUUGGAGUGAGAUUUUGUUUUACCACCUCACGAGGACGAUUUCCAAGUUCUCUUUUUUUUUUUCCAGUUUCCGAAAAAAUUGUUGCCUCUGCCGGGGAAGCUCGAUCUUUUCUUGCAGCCAGGGAUCAUCCAAUUUCCAAGGUUUUCUUCCGUGAGAUCAAUCAACCUCGAAUCCCCGCUUGCCAGGAGCUAUAGGGCUACCUAGAGCUUUCUGAUAACCACCGCGCAUUGUGAUGAGGAGAUCUUUGCUUCAAAGAGAAGUGAAGCUAAUCCUCAAGUUUGUGCUAUUUACUUUGUAAGAGCUUUCUGCAAACCACCGCGCAUUGUGAUGAGUGAGAUCUUUGCUUCAAAGAGAAGUGAAGCUAAUCCUCAAGUUUGUGAUAUUUACUUUAUAAAUGGCCUACCAAAACUUUGGUUUUCAGCUCUUCUCAGCAUCUUCAGAGCUCCGUGCUUCAGCCUUCUCAUUCGAGUACCUGGUUAUGAGAAAACAACGCGAUUAGAUGUGAGCAAAAACGAGCGAAAAGAGCUUCCCGCACUCACAUAGAUAGAAUUGUCACCCAGACUAGCUCCACGCAAUCCACCCAAAGCAGUCUCUGCUCCACUGGGAUGAGACCAUAAGUUACCAGGUGCGCAAAUGGCCAAAGUUUCCAGCCGGCCUGUGUAAGGUGACGAUUCAUGAGAACUAGAUUCUUUUGUGGAUUGAGGAAGAGGAACUAUACCGUGAGGAGUGGAAAGAACGUCGAUCUAAGCUCAGACACAAUUGUCACUGGGUUCUCUAAACGCAAGAGGCCGAGUGUGAUGAAAUACACGCUGUUCCAAAACGCUGACCAAAUUGUUUGAUCAAACCCGACCUUGAGGGGUACAACCCACCACUCCUUGAACGGAAAGAGAGCCUGCAAUUUGCAAUCUACGUAAGCUUUUGACUGAAACUCGAUCAACACGGAAGAAGACGGACCUCACAAACAUGGUAAUAGUAAUGCGAAAGUGAUCCAUGCAAGCAAAAUCCCACAAGUCCGGAUCUUAACAUUCGCGUUCGACUGAAAUCUAGCACAGGUUUUCCUUCGUAGCACUGAAAGGUACAGAGAUGUUUAGCACAAGGAAAAUGAAAAAGCAUCAAAGUUUUGAAGUACCUGAGCCAUCCAGUCACCGAUCGAGUAAACGAUGCCACUGAUCAUCAUCUUCGCAAGAACGGGGUGGCUCCUGAGAGCCUCCUCGUACGCACUCCAGUUAUGAACUGGCGCGUACUUGAUGAUCUCAUAGAAAGUCCAUCCCUGGAGGAAAAGAAACGUUUGAGAUACGAGUUGACAAAGCUAACACAAAAAACUUACUUGCCAGUAGUCCUGAUCCACCGUCACGAUUUUUCCAAGAGCAUAAGCCGCGGCUGCUGCUAUCAAGCUCGCAUUUAAAAAUCUGUCCACUUGACGAUCUUUGUCAGUCACAACGGAAGAAGGAGAAGCAACCAAAACUUGGACGUCCUGUUGAGACCCAGACGAAAAUUCGAGCGAGUAGGAGCUUCCAGAAUUCACUGGCUGGGGACGGGUUUCCGGAAGAACUUCCACUUCUUGUAGUGUAAGUGGAAGACUAGUUUCCGAAGGACUGGUUUCUACAGUCUCGGGUUCCACCAUGGUUGCCCGUGUGGAUACUUUUGUCUUUCCGUGACGUAGUGACGCCGAUUUACGAACCGCGGAUGAGCAGUAGCUCGAGGAUGUGAAAUUCCCGGACAGCAGCCGCUCGAUCGAGCCGGCAUUCUUGAUUUUGGCCUUUGGAAUCACCCGCAACGAAAUCCCAGGAAGAUUGAGAGAUUCCAUGCCCUGGAGACAGCAAAAUCUAGAGUCAAAUCCGCCCUAAGAGGAAGAAGAUCCCUCUCCAUACCUGCUGUAUCGCUCAGCGCAAUCCACAGCGUGACAAAUCGCGGCCGCCAGGAGCUCCAAGAAGAGACUGAGAGAAGGCGCGAGCGGCGUGAGAAAAGCAUGAGAGGGCUGGGACAGUCUCAAACAUAUUUAUGUGCUGGAUAGAGUCACGUAUCGACGGACAAGAUCUCGCCACGGUAUCAUAUUUUAUGGAAAACCUUGUGAAUGUGAUUAAAUUCCACAAGGCUUGGGAUAUAACAUUGUAUCCAAUCUUCGAUAUUUGAUUUUUCCAUGGUCUAUGUGUGAAGGCUGUAGUUCGCCACAAGGCACCAAUCACGCCUAGCCCCAUAUUCGUAUGGCUGCCUCGUAUUGUCAAACUUCUAUUGAAUGAUACCUCUCUAGGACCACCAAAGAUUCUGGCAUAUUGUCGUUUGGCUGCCACGUAGCUCAGAAACACGGCCUCGUACCUCUGGAAAACGGCCACGACAGCGCUUGUAUGAAUUCUCUGGAUCAUUCCUUGUAUAUAUCUAGUAGCUUCUUCGAUCUUUGCGAGAAUUUUACGCUCUGGAAGGAAAAUGGAGGACACGACACGAAAUGCUUACUUCUCUGUCUAGUUAGACUUUGAUCCGGAUGAUGAAGGAGCCUGAUUCAAGAGAAGAGGUGAAAAGAUUAGACAAGCAAGAGAAAGAGUGGAGUCCUCUACUUACAAGCAGGCAAGGCGGCGAUCUCUGCCGAAACCGCGCAUGGAACGCCGAGAUUCGUGAGAGCUCCACGGAUCAAUCCGCAAGGGAAGUAGAGAUACUUUCCUCCGGCUUGGGCUGCGGCGAGCGUGGUGUUGUUGGCUUCCGAGGGAGUGAGAGGCGAGUCCACGGAGAUGCGAGUUAGCCAUCUAAAGCGAGUGUCUUGCAGAACAAACACGCCCUGGGAGUUAUCACACAAAAGAGGAAAACAAAACCAGCAAUGGAUGAGAGAGCGAGAAAAACUAAAGUUUGUUUUUGCGUACCCGGUGAUUUGUUUUGAGAUUGUCAAUCUGCUUCUUGAAAACCUCCGCCCAGAAAUCCUUGCAUAUGAACUUGAUGACUUCCAAGUGAUCUGUGAAUCGCGGACGAUCUCUUGUGUAUCUGGAAAGAGGAAAAAAGAUAGAAGAAAAAACCACCUUCUUGAGAUUUAUACAUUUGGAACUUACAAGAUCAAUCCAAAAGGAAAAUUCACGCAAGCAAGCAGAUCCACUGGAACCAAUCUAAGCAGAUCAAGCCACAUUCCUCGCAAGCAUUUGAGCAGAAAAUUUUACCUCUCCGCGAGCUGCUGUCCCACCUGGAAGCCGAUCGCCUCGAUCCGGCGAGCGGCCAGAUCCGGCUUGGAAGAAUGUAGCCUGUCGCAGUAAGUCGCCACCAUCUCCAUCGUGAUUCCAUCCAGGCAGCUCUCCGCGACCUCGCGCGAUCCAGCCCUCAUUCUCAAGAACCCUAAAUUUCAAAACGUCUUGAAAUUUUUGCUUAUGACCUAAAGAGCGGCUCCUUAGAUCAAUGCCGAUAUUGAUCGUUACCUCUCAUCUUGAAAUUUUUCUUAUGACCUAAGAGAGAGCUAGAUUGUGGAUGGCCCCUCCGAUCCCGGCGAGCGCCCAGCGCUCCUCAAAUCAAUGCUGAUAUUGAUCGUUACCUCUGCCGCAUUGCUCGAUUCUCCAGCACCGGAGUUCUUCCUCCAGUACCUCAGGUUCCAUCGGUCCUUCGAUGCUGAUUGGCGCCUCGGAUUAGGGACUCUCACCACCGCGCUCGAUCUGUCCAUGGCUCGAUUUGCUGGAUUUGCCACUGGCUGGCGCGGGAUGACGAUGUCCUCGCCCUCGCCCGUGUGGAAGGAGCUGAGGGAGCUCCUGGCGGACUGGAUUUCGGGGCUGGAGAAGCGCAGCAUGGGGCUGGGAUGGAGCGGAUCGAGCGUGUCGCCUCCGUGGUUCGUGCCGUCGGGAGAUUCUCGCAAGCUCAUCCGGCACACCGGGCACGUCGCGUUUUGGCGCAGCCAGUGAUCGAUACACUCGACGUGGAAGCUGUGCGUGCACCAGGGAAGAACUCGCAGCGCAUUGCCUGUAUGAAAUUCUUCCAGGCAGAUGGGACACCUUUGAUGUGAAGGUUUUUUGUUUGGUUUGAUCGAUCCAGAGAAGAAUCACGAGCAGUAUCAUGGAUGAGUGGAAGAAUCGAGAAAUUAAUCUUACUUCUUGGGCGGUCCUGUUUGCUGUGCUUGCUGCAGAGAUUGGUGGAUGAUGAUCGGAAGCGAUGCGAUGACGCAUGGUUCCAAUCCAUUCAAUGUCCUGACCUACAAAUUCGUGGAUCUCUUGUUCAUCAUCUUAGAAAGAAGUAAGAACUGUAAGCUCUCAAUCUUACUGAUGUGUUCUCGCUAUCAGUUUCAUGGGACGGGGGGGAGGAUCGCAAGCAGCAGACGAGCUUGAUGACGAAAUAGAGGACAAGGACGGCGGCGCCAAAGAAUCCGACCAGCGUGAAGGCGCCCCCAAUUGAAGCUCCCAACCACAUCGAGAUGGCACUGGGGAGCCAGGGCAGCACAUACAAGCAGUGCAUUGCUUCACGACAAGGCCUGAGCUUUGGAAGAUCCCAUUCACCAUGUUGAAGUGGGAAUAUUCAUGAAAUCUAUGAGCUCUAAAUAAUUGCAUUUUCUAAAAGAAAAAUAAUUUAUUGCAUUAAUAGUUGAAUUAGUUUUAAUCAAUAAACUAAGGUUUUAAGUUAAUUGAAUAUACAUAUUUCUUCUGUAUUCCAUGUAUUCACCAGUUUUUAUUAUUCUAAAAAGUGCUUGGAUUUAUGCUUUUGGUUUAAAUCUAUCUUUUACAACAUUUAUUUUUGUAAGUUUUCUAUUUCUUUUCUUUUGAAUUUUUUAUUUUCAUUCGUCCUCCUUUGUAACAACCUCCUCCUAUAACUUUGGAGUAGCAAUUAAUAUAAUUACUCAAUGGUGAUGGUGAUGUUUAUAGUGUGUGGUGUAAAUCCUUCUACUUUUAUUACCAAUCCUUAAUAUGUACUAUUAAUCAAAUGGUAUCAUCAUUUAUUAGGGAUGAUAUGUACCAUUAAUUUAAUCAUUUUACUGUGAUUGCCAUUUAUCAUUAUUAAAAUGAUGUUUGGUGUUUGCAAGAGUUUUCCAUAUAUAUUUAAACGAUGGCAUUAUAGUGCUACAAUAUUUUGAGCACAACUACUUAUACAGAUUGGAGCCUUCUCCCAAUAUUUUCAAAUGUAUGCUUAGACAUAUUGACAAUUGUGAUGAUGCCUUUCAAUAAUUACAUCAUGUUUGCUAGGGGCUUUAUGUCAAUUAUGCAAUUUAGUGUUUGUUUUUGAAGCUUUUAAUUUUCAUGUAGCUUGUAUCAAAUAUGUCAAAGCGAAUCAAGUUGAAAAUAUUGUAGCUAACAUUUCAUCAAAAUCUUAAUAGAACUUAUACACUUGUUUUAGCCAUUAUAUUGAUGCUCUUUAAUUGGCAUGAUGUUAGGAGACAUCACUUCUCCCACUUAUAACUGUAUAUGCUUGAACUCCACUUCCCAUGGAAGAUGCUUUUGUUCUAAUAGAAAUUAACACUACUAUUGAUUGUGUUCAAAAAUAAAAGCAAAGACAUGUGUGUCUUUGAUAUAUACUAUUAAACAUAUGAUGAGGUUGGCUAUAUGUAUUGGUGUUGUUUGCAUUUCCCGAAUUGACAUUCUCUAUUUUCUAGAUGGCCUUAGCGUCAACAACAUUAUAAUCAUAAUAUUGUGGUGAAAGGUUUGAACACGAAGAUUCUUCAGGGAAAUAAGGAGUUAUAUAAGUAGUAGAGGUUUUUUAUAUAAAUAAAUCAAUGACCCCUCCAUCCUUAUUUUGGGAGUACCAUCAACAUUUGGCAUUGAUUCAUCUAGUAUUCACUUUCUAAGUUUUUUUUUCAUAACAAAAGGUUUUGUAUUAUCCUUUUUAUAUUGGUCAAUAUAGGUGUGACUUUAUCUUCUAAUACUCAUUAUGUUUUCUCACAGUCCCUAAGUCAGGAAUAAGAUUUAUGGAGGUGGUGAGUGAGACUCUUCCAAGUGGUCAAAGGUCUAUUGUUUAAAAUUAUAUCAUGCAGCUAUAAGCGACUAAAUUUUCUAUUCUACUUUAAUUACUUAACUACACUUCCGACCACUUGGAGAAGUCUCACUUACAACCUCCAUAAAUUCUAUUCUAGACUUGAGGACUUUCUAACCCCAUAAAUGGCAUUUAUGCCACUUAGCUUUUGCACUUUGUCCAAAUGCUCUAUAUGUCCGAUUUUAUGACUAACAUUCAAAAGUACCCCUAACAUAUCAACCCAUUACGCUAAGGUUAUGCCCAUUCCCUUUUAUCACAUUGAUGAUCCAACACCACUUGCAUCACAAUUGUAAGGGACUAAAUUUUCUAUUUUACUUUAGUCAUUUAAUCACAUCUCCGACCACUUGGAAGAGUCUCACUCAUAACCUCCCUAAGUCCUAUUUUGGAUUUAUGCUUGCUAGCCCCGAAAAUGGCAUCCCCACCACUCAACCUUUGCACUUGGUCCAAGUGCUUCACGUGUCUGAUCCCAUGACCGACGCCCCAAGGUACCAUCGACAUAUUAGCCCGUUACACUAAGGCCAUGCCCCUUCACCUUGGUCACACCGGUGGUCUAACACCAUCUGCAUCAUAGUCUUAUCUCUUAAGGACUGGGCCAUCCAUCCAUGAGUGAUCAUCCCAAAUCCACUUCUUAGCAUCCUUAGGAUGCCCACAGACAUGGGGAUUAGCCUUCCCCAAUACCCCUUUUCCAAUCCCCACCAAGUCUCUUUCUGUCCAUGGCCGUGUUCGCCAACACUGCCACUAGAUCAAGGCCCACAAGCCCGACCACUAAGUCCUACGGUCCUCUGGGACUUCUUCCUCACACGACCAUGUCCUUGGUCUCCACACUAGAGGAUGGCCCCUUUUCCUUUUCACAGUCUGGGACUAUAGGGCAACAUUUUGGAACACCGUGGCCUUACGCAAGCCUUAUGGGUAUUCUCCCCGCCUUCCGCCUUUGGGUGCUCUAGCCAUGGGCUUAGAGUGAGGUUCUGUUGAGCCAUGCUAGGUAUCCAAGUAGGUAGUGCCACCCACACUUGGAUUGGGAACAUCGACCAUUCGAUCUCUCAGGGGAACUAGAGUCGGCUCUUGAACACUUCACCAAGCUACCCUACUUAUUGGUCCGUAUUCACUCUAGUCUUGGACUUCCCAGUGGGCAGCUCAUCACCUAACACUGGGUACAACCUUACUGGGCAAAACUAGCCUUUCCUGGCCAAAUUGGCUCCACUGCAGUCCUCCCCCUACUAUACUUUUGGAGCUCACCAAACCCCCCAGGGUCUGAGAGACAAAUGCUUUGGGCUUUCACCCUCUCAGACUCAGACUCGGACUCGGACUCGGACUCGGACUCGGACUCGGACUCGGGCUCGGGCUCGGGCUUGGUCUUGGGCUCGAGCUCGGGCUCGGGCUUGGUUGUAAGACACAAAUCCCUAAGCCCCAAAAUGGAGCCGAAAGGGUGCCACGUGGUAGUGGCCGAAGCAAAAGCCAAACGAGUGUAACAUGACCUUUCUUGUAAGACUUUCCUAGCAAUGAUUUCGUUUAUAAAAUAGCCCCCUAAUGGGCUUGAGUGAGCUUCCUUUGGACUAAAAGGCUCUGACUUGAAAGGUUGAGAGCGGGAGUGGAACUCCCAAUAGAGUGCUCAAGAAACGAGCAUGAAGCGAGCAAUAAGCGAGGCUCCAAAAAGGGACCCAAAAGGACCAACACAUGACAUGUGGAAGUGUCCGAGAUGGAGUCCGAGAUGGACCCGAGUUGGAGUCCGAGGUGGAGUCCGAGAUGGAGUCCGAGAUGGACCGAGACGGAGUCCGAGAUGGAGUCCGAGAUGAACCGAGACGGAGUCCAAGAUGGAGUCCGAGAUGGACCUGAGAUGGAAUCCGAGAUGGAGUCCGAGAAGGACCCGAGAUGGAGUCCGAGGUCGAGACCAAGACCGGGACUGAGACCGGGACCGAGACCAGGACCGAGACCGAGACCGAGACCGAGACCGAGACCGGGACCGAGGCCGAGGCCGAGACUGAGCCCGAGUUCGAGUUCGAGUCCAAGUCCGAGUCCGAGUCCGAGUUCGAGUUCGAGUCUGAGAGGGUGAAAGCCCAAAGCGUUCGUCUUCCAGACCUUGGGGGGUUUGGUGAGCUCCAAAAGUAGGACUGCAUUGGAGCCAAUUUGGCCAGGAAAGGCCAAUUUGGCCCAGGAAGGCCAGACCCAGUGUUGGGUGAUGAACUGACCACUGGGAAGUCCAAGACUAGAGUGAAUACGGAUUGACAAGUGGGGUAGCUUAGUGAAGUGUUCAAGAGUCGACUCUAGUUCCCCCAGGAGAUCGACUAGCCGAUGCUCCCAGUCCAAGUGUGGGUGGCACUACCUACUUGGAUACCUGGUGUGGCUCAACGGAACCUCGCUCUAAGCCCAUGGCUAGAGCACCUAAACGCGGAGGUGGGGAGAGUACCCACGGGGCUCGCGUAGGGCCACGGUGUUCCGAAAUGUUAUCCCGAAGUCCCAAAUGGGGGAAAGGAGGAGGAGCAGUCCUCUAGUGUAGUGACUACGGAUACAGUCACAUGGUGAGGAAGUCCUAGAGGACAAUGGGAUUGAGUGGCCGGGCCUGCGGGCCUUGAUCUAGUGGGAAUGUUGGUGAACAUGGCCAUGCGCGGGAAAGGGACUUGGCAGGAAUUGAUAAAGGGAUGUUGGGGAAGGCUAUUCCCCAUGUCUGUGGGCAUCUUAAGGAUGCUAAGGAGUGGAUCUGGGAUGACCACUCGUGGAUAGACAACCCAGUUUUGGAGAGACGGGAUUGUGAUGCAAGUGGUAUUGGACCACCAGUGCAGCAAAGGUGAAUGGGCAUGGCCUUAGCGUAACGGGCCAAUAUGUCAGUGGUACCUUUGGGUGUCGGUCUUGGGACUGGACACGUGGAGCACUUGGACCAAGUGCAAGGGAGGAGUGGCAUGGAUGCCAUUCUCGGGACUAGCAAGUCCCAAGUCCUGAAUUGGACUUAAGGAGGCUGUGAAUGAGACUCCUCCAAGGGGUCAGAGGUGUGGUUAAGUGACGAAAGUAGAAUGGAAAAUUUAGUCGCUUACAAUUUGGUAUCAGAGCUGUUCCUUAGUCCGACUUUUAUUGGUGAUGGAGUAUAUCACCACUAGUGUUGGCAUCGGAAGGUCCUAGGAGUGGGCUUGUCCUUGAGGAGUAGCAAGUCGGGAAGACAUGGCUCUCCACUACAGUUCACGUGUGAACUUAUAGGCAAGGUGGUGGAUAGAAAAGAGCUAAUGAUGGAACGACUUUGGGAUCUUGGGAAUAGUGCAAGGUUUUCCUCAUUGAGUUGAGGAUGUGAUCCAGAUGAGCAUUUGACUCAGCAAACUGGCUAAUGUAGUUGUGGUAAACAACUAUAGUUGGGAUCACAAGGAAAAUAGAGACUCCAAAACGAUAAAGGAGUCACAAGAUUACCCUCAUGAAGUUGAAACUGGUGCUCAUGAAUUUGAGACCAGAAGUAAUGACCGCAGGAGGUCAAAUACAAAAAAGGAUACAAGUCCUUGAAAUGGUAGCCGGAGCUACCUCUAAUAAAUGCUGGAACAACCCAAGGAGUUGGGGGUGUAUUUAGAGGAUGAGUUGGUAUUCUCAUCACAUAGACAAGUGGUCCUAAGGGGCAAAAGGUUGCCCCUAGAGAACAAAUCAAGUGUUGGAGUAACAUUUGCAAAAGAUGGUCCUUGUGAGUAGAACAUGAAUACAAGGAGUUGUAUUCCAAUGAGUUAACACCUCAAAAGUAGGACCUCAUAGGUCGUCGGAUUAACAAAGUCCAAAAGGUUGAAUGACUCCAAUAGAGUCAAGGAAUAAUCCUAAGGGCUUGAGGAAAGCAUUUGGACUGAGGUGUAUGGUGCCCCACGAAGGAUGGGGAGGAUCUUGAGAUCCAAGCAUGAGAGUAGUAUGUAUCUCAUUGAUGGCAGUAGAUGCUAUGCUAAAGUCGUGGGAAAGAGUUUCCCGGAAGAAAACAACUUUGACACAAAGUUGUGCAUAAACUCUAUGGUGCAGUGCUAAUGGAUAAUUGGCUUAAGAGACAACCAUAUUGGUCUUGGCAAAAAGACCUAAACACAAGUAAAAAGUGUCAUAAAGGUAGGCUCGUGGAGCCGAUGGUGUGGAGACACCAAAGGUGCCAAGGCGUGCUGCCUUGAGGUCAAGUUGGUGGGUUCAUGAGAACCCCUUCCAAAGGAAUCCCAAUGGAAACGGGAAUAGCAUAGCCUAAGGUGGAAGGCAUUAUAAGCGACUAAAUUUUCCAUUCCACUUUCGUCACUUAACCACACCUCUAACCCCUUGGAAGAGUCUCAUUCACAACCUCCUUAAGUCCAAUUUAGGACUUGGGACUUGCUAGUCUCGAGAAUGACAUCCAUGCCACUCCUCCUUUGCACUUGGUCCAAGUGCUUCAUGUGUCCAAUCCCAAGACCGACACCCAAAGGUACCACUGACAUAUUCGCCUGUUACACUAAGGCCAUGCCCAUUCACCUUUGCUGCACUGGUGGUUCAAUACCACUUGCAUCACAAUCUCGUCUCUCCAAGACUGGGCUGUCCAUCCACAAGUGGUCAUCCUAGAUCCACUCCUUAGCAUCCUUAGGAUGCCCACAGACAUGGGGAAUAGCCUUCCCCAACAUCCCUUUGUCAGUUCCUGCCAAGUCCCUUUCCCAUCCAUGGCCAUGUUCACCAACACUGCCACUAGAUCAAGGCCCGUAGGCCCGGCCACUAAGUCCCAUUGUCCUCUGGGACUUCCUCACCAUGUGACUAUAUCCGUAGUCAUUAUACUAGAAGACUACUCCUCCUCCUUUCCCCCAUUUGGGAUUUCGGGACAACAUUUCGGAACACCAUGGCCCUACGCGAGCCCCGUGGGUACUCUCCCCACCUUUCGCCUUUAGGUGCUCUAGCCAUGGGCUUAGAGCGAGGUUCCGUUGAGCCACACUAGGUAUCCAAGUAGGUAAUGCCACCCACACUUGGACUAGGAGCAUUGGCCAGUCGAUCUCCCAGGGGAACUAGAGCCGGCUUUUGAACACUUCACCAAGUUAUCCUGCUUGUCAGUCUGUAUUCACUCUAGUCUUGGACUUCCCAGUGGUUAGUUCAUCACCCAACACAGGGUCUGGCCUUCCAGAGCCAAACUGGCCUUUCCUGGCUAAAUUGGCUCCACUGCAGUCCUCCCCCUUACUAUACUUUUGGAGCUCACCAAACCCCCUAGGGUCUGGGAGACGAACGCUUUGGGCUUUCACCCUCUCAGACUCGAACUCAGACUCGGACUCGGACUCGAGCUCGGUCUCGGUCUCGACCUUGGCCUCGGUCUCGGUCUCGGUCCCGAUCUCGGUCUCGGUCCCGGUCUCGGUCUCGGUCCUGGUCUCGGUCUCGGUCCCAGUCUCGGUCUCGACUUUGGACUCCAUCUCGGGUCCAUCUCAGACUCCAUCUCGAACUCCAUCUCGGGUCCAUUUCGGGUCCAUCUUGGACUCCAGCUCGGACUCCAUCUCGGGGUCCUUCUCGGACUCCACUUCAGACUCCAACUGGGUCCAUUUCAGGUCCAUUUUAGACACUUCCAUAUGUCAUGUGUUGGUCCUUUUGGGUCCCUUUUUGGAGCCUCACUUAUUGUUCGCUUCGUGCUUAUUCCUCGAGCACUUCGUUGGGAGUUGCACUCCCACUCUCGACCUUUUCAAGUCAGAGCUUUUAGUCCAAACGUGUUACGCUCGUUUGGCUUUCGCUUUGGCCACUACCACGUGGCACCCUUUUGGCUCCACUUUGGGGCCUGGAUCUUGUGUCUCACAACUCCACCACCCAUAGACGAAGUUCAAUGUCCUCAUCGAACGGUAAACCCUCUUAUAAAGUAACACCCGCAUGUAUUACCAGUUCCAUCCUUGGCACCUAGCCAAUAUUUGUCUGUGGUUUGUCACCAAAGGCACACCAUGCUUUGUCCACCCUCUAAGGAGCAUAGUCUCUCCAAGUUAGAGACUUAUUCAACCACUUGUGGUGGUUUUUUCCGUUUAUUGGUUUAGUCUUCGCUAAACCCGUUAGAGGCACCUUCUUUAUCUCAAUCCCACUACUACUUCUCGAGUAGUCUUAGUUUCCAUCGAUUGAACAUUUGCACUUUGGAACUUUUAUUUUUUGACUUCUUGAAGUCAAUUUCCUAGGUAUCUCCAACACCUUGCAUUGCACAUAUUGUGCAACUCCACUUUCCCAUCCUAGGAAGUUCUCUACUUGAGGGCACCAUCAUCCUUUCUUUUAUUUCAUGCCACCUUGGGCACUAAGUUCCAGAUAUUAUAUUUUGUGUUAGGGCUAUCCAUAGCCCUAUCAUUUGGCUACUUUACUACUCUUUCCCUUGGAGCUUCCACUUUUGCCAAAUCGGAGCAAUUGGGAAUCCAUCCUUGGAAACACAUUGCAUUUCCCACAAUUCGUUAGCACUCGAUACCUUAGUGUUCUUAGCCUAACUUUGCCUUUCGGAUUCUUUCCCAUUAUUCCCAUAGCUCUUUUUUAGCCUCUAAUCCUUUGCUCCUAUCCUUGAUUGUUGCACCCAGCAACAUCGGAUCGCUACCUUCAUUCUUGAGGUAUUCUUUUGGUUCCAUAGCAAACACCUUGCUUGCCAAGUCCGAAGGGUGUUCACCUUUAGUACGUCUCUUUAACAUUUUCUGCUAUGGGCUCUAUCUACAACCCAACUUUUGAGAUCCUCCCUUGGACUUACUAUGCCACAGCAUUGAUAUAGCUCAUUUUCCUUAGAUGUUCUUCCCACUUAGUCACCUCAACCAAGCCACACCAUUAUCAAUAGUUCAAAUCAACACUUUGAACUAGAAAUCAUAUUCCUUAACCCAAACAAAGAUCUUGUCCUUUUUUAGCCACAAGAUCACCUAGUGAUCUCAUCUUGACCCUUUAAUAGGUCUACCAAUAAGAAUUAGGUCUUCCAGACCCCUCUAUGUUGUUGACUAUGACCCCAGGGGCAUCCCCCACACUUGGCGGUGUGCCCAAGCCAGCCCUUCCGGCCAAGGAUCCAUAGCAACUGAGACUAGGUGUCCCCAUUUCAUUCACCACGUCCUUGGUGCCCUUUGCAUCAAAGUGUUCAAGUUAGAUAUGCCGAGCUUUCACUCUAAGCAAUCUAACCGUGCAUCACGACUCCAGGGCAUCCCCCGCUUGGCAGUGUGCCCAAGCCAAUCUCCUCAUUGAGAGUCCAUAACCACCGAAAUACGAGUGUCCUCAUAUUCCAAACCAUCACCACGCCCUAGUGAUUUGGGACUCGAACCCAAGCACUAGCGGGUCGGGACUCAAACCCAACCUCCAUAUAUGCAUCUACGGAUGGCAUCACCCAAGAUGCCUGGCGUGACUCUCCACGCCGGUGCACCAACUUAUACUUAAAACGCGUUAUAGAUCACAGCUUAGGAACCUAGUUCCUCCACACUGCCAAGUUCUCUCACUUGACACGUCUAUGAUCAUGCAUGGACUCCUCCAUGCUUGGCCCAAUGGCCCACCCCUUUUAAAGUUAUCACCUUCAACUAGGGUAUUUGUUCCCCUGACUUGCCAAUCUCGCUUGGUAAGUCCUCUGACCACUGUAACAUGGUUCUUGCAUAAGCGUGAAAGUCCUUGACCAUCGACUUUCGUUCAAAGCCCUCUCUUUGAACACUCGGGAACUACUUCCCUAACCUUGAUAGCCUUGCCCCAUGGCAAGCUCCAAGACCACGCUUCUGCUGUGCCACUCUGGUUUCGCGCGUUCCAUGAACCAUUUACACUUGGCCUUUCUAGGUACUAAGCUACCUAGAAUCGUCUUUGGGAACCUUGAAGGAACUCUGUCCCUUAGCUUGCUAAGGCCUCCCUUUUUGCAAGCUUUCCAGUUGCCAUAUAAUCUAAUAUAGACAAUUCCAUAUUUUAGACUCUCCAUGGCAUCACGGUUUGCCAGCAACAACAUGCUUAAGCACCCACUUGAUUCUCCACUCCCAACUUGCAUAACCACCCUUGGUCAUGCCUAUCAAUUCCUAUGGUUCGAUUCUAUCUUUAUACUACUUGCCUUUUGGCCUCAUACAUUUCCUUCGGUUAUUCUCCUCCAGACUAGGAAGAUAGCUUUGCACUUUCUACCAUGCCUUCGCAAGUAUUCAUAGGGAUGAACCUACCCGACAGCCUAAGGAGUGGUUCCUCAAUCCGGGUUUGCUCACAUUCUAAUCCCACACACUGGGAUCACCAUUGUUACUUAUGGGCCUUUAUAUGCCCAUCACUAAUCUUGCCAAAAUCCCUCUUUGGCUUUGUCCAAUUUAGGUAGACGGACUUCUCCUGUCUCCACAACUUUGGACAUUUGGAUAACACCUUCUAUCCUUCAUUUGCUAGGGACUUUAUCCCUUUUGCAUUAUCCAUUGCCCUCAUAACACCAAAUACCCCCUUCUGGUGUUUUAGAGUGUUUGGGUGUCCCAAUGAUGGCCUCUCUGACAAUGAGUAUUCACUUUUCAACAUUGACUUACUAUGUCGCAACAUAAGCAAUUUAUCCUUUAUAAGGGUAUAUCAAACUUCCUUAUCCCAAUAAAAAAUCUUAGGUAAUUGCCUUCUACCAGUUUAUGAAUUAUUUUACACCUUUUGCUUAGUUGCCUUAUAGUUGUCAAGUCCUACAACUCAUUGCUGGUGCUUCCACACUUCCAUCAUUAUCUGGGUCACCACACUCUAGCCGCAUGCCUUCCAACUUAGGCUAUGCUAUUCCCAUUUCCAUUGGGAUUCCUUUGGAAGGGGUUCUCAUGAACCCACCAACUUGACCUCAAGGCAGCAUGCCUUGGCACAUUCGGUGUCUCCACACCAUCGGCUCCACGAGCUUACCUUUAUGACACUUCUUACUUGUGUCCAGGUAUUUUUGCCAAAACCAAUAUGGUUGUCUGUUAUGCCAAUUAUCCAUUAGCACUGCACCAUAGAGUUCAUGCACAACUUUGUGUCAAAGUUGUUUUCUUCCAGGAAACUCUUUCCCACAACUUUAGCAUGGCACCUUCCGCCAUCAAUGAGAUAUAUACUGCUCUCAUGCUUGGAUCUCAAGAUCCUCCCCAUCCUUCGUGGGGCACCAUACACCUCAGUCCAAAUGCUUUCCUCAAGCCCUUAAGAUUAUUCCUUGACUCUAUUAAAGUCAUUCAACCUUUUGGACUUUGUUAAUCCAACGACCUAUAAGGUCUUACUUUUGAGGUGCUAGCUCACUGGAAUACAACUCCUUGUAUUCAUGUCCUACUCACAAGGACCAUCUUUUGCAAAUGUUACUCUGACACUUGAUUCAUUCUCUUGGGGGAACCUUUUGCCCCUUAGGACCACUUGUCCAUAUGAUGAGAAUACCAACUCAUCCUCUGAGUACAACCCCAACUCCUUGGGUUGUUCCAGCAUUUAUUAGAGGUAGCUCCGGCUACCAUUUCAAGGACUUGUAUCCUUUUUUGUAUUUGACCUCCUGCGGUCAUUACUUCUGGUCUCAAAUUCAUGAGCACCAGUUUCAACUUCAUGAGGGUAAUCUUGUGACUCCUUUAUCGUUUUGGAGUCUCUAUCUUCCUUGUGAUCCCAACUAUAGUUGUUUACCACAACUACAUUAGCCAGUUUGUUAAGUCAAAUGCUCAUCUGGAUCACAUCCUCAACUCAAUGAGGAAAACCUUGCACUGUUUCCAAGAUCCCAAAGUCGUUCUAUUCUUGGCCCUUUUCUAUCCACCACCUCACCUAUAAGUUCACACAUGAACUAUAAUAGAGAGCCAUGUCUUCUUGACCUGCUACUCCUCAAGGAUAGGCCCACUCCUUAGACCUUCCGAUGCAAACACCAAUGGUGAUAUAUUUGAGCACCAAUAAAAGUCGGACUAAGGAAUAGCUCCGAUACCAAAUUGUAAGCGACUAAAUUUUCCAUUCUACUUUCGUCACUUAACCACACCUCUGACCCCUUGGAAGAGUCUCAUUCACAACCUCCUUAAGUCCAAUUCAGGACUUGGGACUUGCUAGUCCCGAAAAUGACAUCCAUGCCACUCCUCCCUUGCAUUUGGUCCAAAUGCUUCAUGUGUCCAGUCCCAAGAUUGACACCCAAAGGUACCACAGACAUAUUGGCCCGUUACGCUAAGGCCAUGCCCAUUCACCUUUGCUACACUGGUGGUCCAAUACCACUUGCAUCACAAUCCUGUCUCUCCAAGACUGAGCUGUCCGUCCACGAGUGGUCAUCCCAGAUCCACUCCUUAGCAUCCUUAAGAUGCCCAUAGACAUGAGGAAUAACCUUCCCCAACAUCCCUUUGUCAGUUCCUGCCAAAUCCCUUUCCCGUCCAUGGCCAUGUUCACCAACACUGCCACUAGAUCAAGGUCCGUAGGCCCGGCCACUAAGUCCCAUUGUCCUCUGGGACUUCCUCACCAUGUGACUAUAUCCGUAGUCACUACACUAGAGGACUGUUCCUCCUCCUUUCCCCCAUUUGGGACUUCGAGACAACAUUUUGGAACACUGUGGCCCUACGCGAGCCCCAUGGGUACUCUCCCCACCUUCUGCCUUUAGGUGCUUUAGCCAUGGGCUUAGAGCGAGGUUCCGUUGAGCCACACUAGGUAUCCAAGUAGGUAGUGCCACCCACACUUGGACUGGGAGCAUCGGCCAGUCGAUCACUAGAGCCGGCUCUUGAACACUUCACCAAGUUAUCCCAUUUGUCAGUCCGUAUUCACUCUAGUCUUGGACUUCUCAGUGGUCAGUUCAUCACCCAACACAAAGUCUAGCCUUCCAGGGCCAAACUGGCCUUUCCUAGCCAAACUGGCUCUACUGUAGUCCUCCCCCUUACUAUACUUUUGGAGCUCACCAAACCCCCUGGUGAGGGUCUGGAAAACAAAUGCUUUGGGCUUUCACCCUCUCAGACUCGAACUCAGACUUAGACUCGGACUCGGACUUGGACUCGGCCUCAGUCUUGGCCUUGGCCUCGGUCUCAGUCUUGGUCCCGAUCUUGGUCUCGGUCUCGGUCUUGGUCUCGGUCCCGGUCUCGGUCUCGACUUCGGACUCCAUCUCGAGUCCAUCUCGGACUCCAUCUCAAACUCCAUCUCGGACUCCAUCUCGGACUCCACCUCGGGUCCAUCUCAGACUCCACCUUGGGUCCAUCUUGGACUCCAUCUCUGGUCCAUCUCGGACUCCAUCUUGGGUCCAUUUCGGGUCCACCUCGGACUCCAUCUCGGGGUCCUUCUCGGACUCCACUUCAGACUCCAACUGGGGUCCAUUUCGGGUCCAUCUCGGACACUUCCACGUGUCAUGUGUUGGUCCUUUUGGGUCCCUUUUUGGAGCCUCGCUUAUUGCUCGCUUCGUGCUCAUUCCUCGAGCACUUCGUUGGGAGUUCCAUUCCCACUCUCGACCUUUUCAAGUUGGAGCUUUUAGUCCAAACGUGUUAUGCUCAUUUGGCUUUCGCUUCGGCCACUACCACGUGGCACCCUUUUGGCUCCACUUUGGGGCCUAGGGAUUUUGUGUCUCACAGGCAUGUGGUUAGAGUGUGGUGACCCAGAUAAUGAUGGAGGUGUGGAAGCACCAGUAAUGAGUUGUAGUACUUGACAACUAUGAGGCAACUAAGCAAAAGGUGCAAAAUAAUUCAUAAACUGGUAGAAAGCAACUACCUAAGACUUUUUAUUGGGAUAAGGAAGUUUGAUAUACCCUUAUAAGGGAUGAAUUGCUUAUGUUGCAACAUAGUAAGUCAAUGUCGAAAAGGGAAUGCUCAUUGUCAGAGAGGCCAUCAUUGGGACACCCAAACACUCUAGAACACUAGAAAGGGGUAUUUGGUGUCAUAAGGGCAAUAGAUAAUGCAAAAGGGACAAAGUCCCUAGCGAAUGAAGGAUAGGAGGUGCUAUCCAAAUAUCCAAGGUUUUUGAGACAGGAGAAGUCUGUCUACCCAAAUUAGACAAAAACAAAGAGGGAUUUUGGCAAGGCUAGUGAUGGGCAUAUAAAGGCCCAUAAGUAGCAAUGGUGAUCCUAGUGUGUGGGAUUACAAGGUGAGCAAACCCGAAUUGAAGAACCACUCCCUAGGCUGUCGGGUAGGUUCAUCCCUAUGAAUAUUUGCCAAGGCAUGGUAGAAAGUGCAAAGCUAUCUUCCUAAUCUAGAGGAGAAUAACCGAAGGAAAUGUAUGAGGCCAAAAGGCAAGUAGUAUAGGGAUAGAACCGAACCAUAAGAAUUGACAGGCAUGACCAAAGGGUGGUUAUGCAAGUUGGGAGUGGAGAAUCAAGUGGGUGCUCAAGCAUGUUGUUACUAGCGACCGGGAUGUCAUGGAGAAUCUAAGUAUGGGAUUGUCCAUGUUAGACUAUAUGAUAAUUGGCAAGUUUGCGAAAUGAGAGGCCUUAGCAAGCCAAUGAAUAGAGCUCCUUGAACGUUCCCCUGGGUAGAUAAGUACCUAGUCAGCCAAGUGUAAAUGGUUCAUAGAACGCACGAAAUCAGAGUGGCGCAGCAGAAGCGUGGUUUUGAAGCUUGCUAUGAGGUGAGGGGGAAGUAGUUCCCGAGUGUUCAAAGAGAGGGCUUUGAACGAAAGUUGAUGGUUAAGGACUUUCACGCUUAUGCAUGAACCAUGUUACGGUGGCCGAAUGACUUGCUAAGUGAGAUUGGCAAAUUGGGGGGAAAAAAUCCCCUAGUUGAAGGUGCUAACUUCAAAAAGGGUGGCCCAUAGGGCUAAGUAUAGAGGAGUCCAUGUAUGAUCACAGAUUUGUCAAGCGAGAGGACUUGGCAGUGCGAAGGAACUAGAUUCUUAAGCUGUGAUCUAUAACGCGCUUUAAGUGUAAGUUGGUGCACCGGCGUGGGGAGUCACGCCAGGCAUCUAGGGUGAUGCCAUCCGUAGAUGCAUAUACAGAGGUUGGGUUUGGGUCCCAACCCUCUAGUGCUUGGGUUCGAGUCCCAAAUUACUAGGGCAUGGUGAUGGUUUGGAAUAUGAGGACACUCAUAUUUCAGUGGUCAUGGACUCUUAGUGAAGAGAUUGGUUUGGGCACACCGCCAAGCGAGGGAUGCCUCAGAGUCGUGAUGCACGAUUAGAUUGCUUAGAGUGAAAGCUCGGCAUAUCUAACUUGAACACUUUGGUGCAAAAGGCACCAAGGACGUGGUGAAUGAGAUAGAGACACCCAGUCUCAAUUGCUAUAGAUCCUUGGCCAGAAGGGUUAGCUUGGGCACACCGCCAAGUGUGGGGGAUGGCCCCGGGGUCAUAGUCAACAAUUUAAAAGGGUCUGGAAGACCUAGUUCCUAUUGGUAGACCUAUUAAGAGGUCAAGAUGAGAUCACCAGGUGAUCUUGUGGCUAAACAAAGACAAGGUCUUUGUUUGGGUUAAGGAAUAUGAUUCCCAGUUCAAAGUAUUUAUUUGAAUUAUUGAUAAUGGUGUGACUUGGUCGAGGUGACCAAGUGAAAAGGACACCUAAAGGGAAAUCAAUUGUGCCAAUACAAUGGUAUAGUAAGUCCAAGAAAGUAGUCUCGGGGAGAGACCCAUAGAAGGGUCGCAAAGUUAGGCUGUGGAUGAAGCCCAUAGCAGAAAUUGCUAAAGAGACCUAUUAAGGGUGAGCACUUGCUAAACUUAACAAAGUAGAGCCUUUGCUAUGGAACCAAAAGGAUACCUCGAGAAUGGAGGUAGUGAUCCUAUGUUGCUCAAUGCAACAAUCAAUGGAUAAAAGCAAAAGAUUAGUGGCCAAGUGUGGGCCAUGGAGUUCAUUGGAAGGAAUCCAAAUGGCAAAGUUAGGCAUGGAACACUAAUGUGUUGGAUGCUAAUGGAUUGUGAGAAAGGAAGUGUGCUUCUAAGGAUGGAUUCCCAAAUGCUCCAAGUUGGCAAAGGUGAAAGUUCCAAGGGAGGGAGCGGCGAAGUAGCCAAAGGAUAGGGCCGUGGAUAGCUCUAGCACAACUUACGAUGACUGGAACUUGGUGCCAAAAGUGGCAUAAAAUAGAAAGGAGGACGAUGGCACCCUCAAGUGGGGAGCUUCCUAGGAUGGAAAGUGAAGUUGCACAAUAUAUGCAGUGAAAGGUGUCAAAGACACCAACAAAAUUGACUUCGAGAAGUCAAAAUUAAAAGUUCCAAGGUGAAUUGGUUAUGUUAAUAGAAGUUGGGACUACUCGAGAAUGAGUAGUGGAAUUGAGUUAGAGAAAGUGUCUUUAACGGGUUUAGCAAGAACUAAACCAAUAAAAGGGAGCAAACCACCCCAGGUGGCCGAAUGAGUCUCUAUGUUGGAAAGACUAUGUCCUUUAGAGGAUGGACAAGGCAUGGUGAGCCUUCGGGGUCAAACCAUAGACAAAUAUUGGCUGGGUGCCAAGGAUGGAAAUGGUAAUACCUGCGAGUGUUACUUUAUAAAAGGGUUUACUGUUCGAUGAGGACAUCGAACUUCGUCUAUGGGUGGUGGAGUUGUGAAACACAAAUCCCUAAGCCCCAAAAUGGAGCCGAAAGGGUGCUACGUGGUAGUUGCCGAAGCAAAAGCCAAACGAGUGUAACACAUUUGGACUAAAAGGCUUCGACUUGAAAGGUUGAGAGCGGGAGUGGAACUCCCAACGGAGUGCUCAAGAAACGAGCAUGAAGCGACCAAUAAACGAAGCUCCAAAAAGGGACCCAAAAGAACCAACACAUGACACUUGGAAGUGUCUGAGAUGGAGUCCGAGAUGGACCCGAGUUGGAGUCCGAGGUGGAGUUCGAGAUGGAGUCCGAGAUGGACCAAGACGGAGUUCGAGAUGGAGUCCAAGAUGGACCCAAGAUGGAGUCUGAGAUGGAGUCCGGAUGGACUGAGACGGAGUUCAAGAUGGAGUCCGAGAUGGACCCGAGAUGGAAUCCAAGAUGGAGUCCGAGAAGGACCCGAGAUGGAGUCCGAGGUCGAGACCGAGACCGGGACCGAGACUGGGACCGAGACCGAGACCGAGAUCGAGACCAGGACCGAGACCGGGACCGAGGCCGAGGCCGAGACUGAGCCCGAGUCCAAGUCCAAGUCCGAGUCCGAGUCCGAGUUCGAGUCUGAGAGGGUGAAAGCCCAAAGCGUUCGUCUCCCAUACUUUUGGUGAGCUCCAAAAGUAUAGUAAGGGGGAGGACUGUAGUGGAGCCAGUUUGGCUAGAAAAGGCCAAUUUGUCCCAGGAAGGCCAAACCCAGUGUUGGGUGAUGAACUAACCACUGGGAAGUCCAAGACUAAAGUGAAUACGGACUGAUAAGCGGGGUAGCUUGGUGAAGUGUUCAAGAGUCGGCUUUAGUUCCCCCGGGAGAUUGACUGGCCGAUGCUCCCAGUCCAAGUGUGGGUGGCACUACCUACUUGGAUACCUGGUGUGGCUCAACAGAACCUCGCUCUAAGCCCAUGGCUAGAGCACCUAAACGCGGAAGGUGGGGAGAGUAUCCACAGGGCUCGCGUAGGGCUAUGGUGUUCCGAAAUGUUGUCCCGAAGUCCCAAAUGGGGGAAAGGAGGAGGAGCAGUCCUCUAGUGUAGUGACUACGGAUACGGUCACAUGGUGAGGAAGUCCCAGAAGACAAUGGGACUGAGUGGCCGGGCCUGUAGGCCUUGAUCUAGUGGCAGUGUUGGUGAACAUGGCCAUGGACGGGAAAGGGACUUGGCAGGAACUGACAAAGGGAUGUUGGGGAAGGCUAUUCCCCAUGUCUGUGGGCAUCUUAAGGAUGCUAAGGAGUGGAUCUGGGAUGACCACUCGUGGACGGACAGCCCAGUCUUGGAGAGACGGGGUUGUGAUGCAAGUGGUAUUGGACCACCAAUGCGGCAAAGGUGAAUAGGCAUGGCCUUAGCGUAACAGGCCAAUAUGUCAAUGGUACCUUUGGGUGUCAGUCUUGGGACUGGACACGUGGAGCACUUGGACCAAGUGCAAGGGAGGAGCCAAGUCCUGAAUUGGACUUAAGGAGGUUGUGAAUGAGACUCCUUCAAGGGGCUAGAGGUGUGGUUAAGUGACGAAAGUAGAAUGGAAAAUUUAAUCGCUUACAUUGGUCUUGGCCUCGGCCUUGGUCUUGGUCUCGGUCUUGAUCUCGGUCUCGGUCUCAGUCUCGGCCCCGGUCUCGGUCUCAGUCUCGGUCUCGGUCCCGGUCCCAGUCUCGGUCUCGACCUUGGACUCCAUCUUGGGUCCUUCUCAGACUCCAUCUUGGAUUCCAUCUCAGACUCCAUCUUGGACUUCAUCUCGAACUUCGUCUCGGUCCAUCUCGGACUCCAUCUCGGACUCUGUCUCGGUCAAUCUUGGACUCCAUCUCGGACUCCAUCUUGGGUCCAUCUCGGACUCCAUCUCGGGUCCAUCUCAAACUCCAUCUCGGACUCCGUCUCGGACUCCAUCUCAGAUCCAUCUUGGACUCCAUCUUGGACUCUGUCUCAGUCCAUCUCGGACUCCAUUUCGGACUCCAUCUUGGACUCUGUCUCGGUCCAUCUUGGACUCCAUCUCAGACUCCAUCUUGGGUCCAUCUUGGACUCCACCUCGGGUCCAUCUCGGACUCCAUCUCAGGUCCAUCUUGGACACUUCCACGUGUCAUGUGUUGGUCCUUUUGGGUCCUUUUUUUAGAGCCUCGCUUAUUGCUCACUUCGUACUCAUCCCUCGAGCACUUUGUUGGGAGUUCCACUCCCGCUCUCGACCUUUCAAGUCGGAACUUUUAGUCCAAACGUGUUACGCUCGUUUGGCUUUCGCUUCAGCAACUACCACGUGGCGCCCUUCUGGCUCCACUUUAGGGCCUAGGGAUUUUGUGUCUCACAACAAUCCUGUCUCUCAAAGAUUGGGCCAUCCAUCCAUGAAUGAUCAUCCUAAAUCCACUUGUUAGCAUCCUUAUGAUGCUCACAGACAUAGGGAACAACUUUCCCCAAUAUCCUUUUUUAGUCCCCAUCAAGUCCCUUUCUGUCCACAAUUGUGUUUGCCAACAUUGCCACUGAGUUAGGGCUCGAGGGCCAAACCAGUAUGUCCCAUUAACCUUUGAUACUUCCUUGUUAUAUAACCACAUCUUUAAUCAAUAUAUAAGAGGACUGUUCCUUUUUCUUUCCUCAGUUUUGGACUCUGGGGCAACCUUUUGAAACACCACAGCCUUACACGAGCCUCAUGGGUAUUCUUCCCACCAUCUGCAUUUGGGUGCCCUAGCUAUAUGGCUAGAGCAAAGUUCUGAUGAGCCGUGCUAAGUAUCCAAGUAGGUAAUGCCACCCAUACUUGGAUUGGGAGCAUCGACCAUCUGAUCUCUCAGGGGAAUUAGAACUAGCUCUUGAACACUUUACCAAACUACCCUAUUUAUCUGUUUGUAUUCACUCUAGCCUUGGCCUUUUUAGUGGUUAUAUCAUCAUUCAACACGUGGGUAUAACCUUUCUAGGCCAUAUUAGCCUUUUCUAGCCAAACUAGUUCCACUAGAGUCCAACACCCACACUCUCUCUAUUAUACUUUUGGAACCCCCUACAGCCCCCCUCGCCUGGGGGAUGAUUGCUUUGGGCUUUUACCCUACAACUUGUAUUAGUAUUUGAACUCGGACUUGGAUUUGGAUUCAGAUUCAAACUCAGACUCGGUCUCGGUCUUGGUCUCGGUCUUGGACUCGGUCUUAGUCUCUAUCUUGGAUCUAUCUCAGACUCCAUCUCAUAUCUAUCUCAAAUUCCAUCUCAGAUCUAUCUCAAACUCUAUCUCUAGUCCAUCUCAGACUUCAUCUCGAAGCCAUUUCAGACUCUAUCUCGGGUCCAUCUUGAACUCCAUUUUAGACUCCAUCUCAGACUUCAUCUCAGAGUCUAUCUCGAACUCCAACUUGGGUCUACAUUGAGUUCAUUGCAAACUCCUCCUCAGACUCCAUCUCAACACUUCUAUGUGUUAUGUGUUAAUCCUCUUGUGUCCCUUUCUAGAGAUUCACUUAUCGCUCGUUUCAUAAUUGUUCCUCGAGCCCUUCUUUGGGAGUUCCACUCUCGCUCUCAACUUUUCAAGUCAGAGCAUUUAGUCCAAACAUGUUACACUUGUUUGGCUUUUGCAUCGGCCAUUACCACGUGGCACCCUUUUGGCUCCACUUUGGGGCUUAGGGAUUUGUGUCUUAUAGAGAAUGAAAGUCAAUUUUCAUUCUCUAUGGCAAUAAUCAUACACAUAAGGAGUGUAUAAGCCUAGUUAUGCCUAUAAAUGAUUUCAAGUUUGAGUUUCAAUAUUAAUAAUGCCAAGUCAAGUUUUUAACUUCAUCUUUAAUAUAAAUUUAUUACAGUGCAAUCAUGCCAAUUGUGACUUUGAGGCUUCUCCUCUUUGUUUUAUAUUCCUUUAUCUUUCUUUCAUUCCUUUUAGUUUUGUUUUAUAUCAUCUUUUUGUUUCUAACUUUACUUCCAUCACUUUUGUUUUUCUAUUAUUUUUAUUGUAUUUCUAACUUUUCUAUUCUCUUUCUAGAUCUUUUAGAUAAUCUUUGUGUGAUGGUAGUUGACUAAUUCAAGAAAGAAAGUAUCAAUCUCUUCAACUUUGACCUAUUAUUUAGGGCCAAGAUUGCAAUGCAUCAUUUAAUUCCAACUAAAGAUGUUUAUCCAAUUAAGGUUUCUAUUCAACAUCUGCUGUUAAAGGAGAUUAAAAUUUUAUAUACAGAUGUCAAGGAGAUUUUAAAAAAGGGUAGGCAUAUAAACAAUAUCUUUUUAAAAAGCUUGAUGAUAGUAUUUAAUUCUGCAUUGAUUAUUUUUCUUAAACAAUAUAACUAUCUUAGAUAUAUACCUCACACUACUGAUUUUCCAGAUCAUUUAGGGAUAAAUCAUUAAUUCACCAAGUUAAACCUUACUUUUAAGUACUAGUAUGCCUUGAUGGAUAAAAAAGAUGUCUCAAGAUUUUUUUUAUACACCAUUUAAUUUCUACAAGUUCUUGGUGAUGCCAUUUAAUUUGAACAAUAUUUUAGUGACUUUUAAAUAGUUGGUAAAUUAGGUUCUUAUAACAUAUAAAGAAUGACUACCAACUUCAUCAAUGAUGUCUUAAUCCACUCAAAGAAGACAUGGGAGAAGCAUAUUUGUGAAAUUCAUAAGAUGCAUUUGAUGUUAAAUUUGUACUACUCUCCCUCAUAUUGUGGAAGGAUAGUUGGAGUUAAUAACAAUUUCCUCUUUAUAUGAGCUAGUAGUCUUUGAUUUAAUAGUGUCUUUUCCAUAGUUAACUAUCAGUAAUGAGUAUAUCAUUAUUAUUUUCAACUACUUGACUUGUUAGAUGGAAGUCAAUACUCUUGCUAGUGCAUCUAUAAUUUCCAUUAGAUACUUCCUCCUUAAUUAAUUUAUGUUCCAACAUUCUUGUUUAAAGCAGAUUUUGUUAGAUAAUUAUCCCAAAUUAUGGUUGAGGCAUUUUAUGUCUUCAUGUCUCGGCUAGGGAUACAUCACACAUCCAUAAUUGUUUAUUAUCCAUAAACAAAUGAUUUAGUGGAAUAGCUCAUUCAAAACUUCAAAAGGAUGAUUAUGGAGUAUGUAAACUUUCAGUAUUUGGAUUGGUUUAAUAUUUAUAGGUCAUAAAAGUACAAGUUCUAUUAAUGUUUUGCCAUAUAAACUUUUAUAUAGUCAUGAAUCUAAUAUUACCAACAAAGUUGGGUUUAAUUUUGUGAUUGCCAGAAGUUGUCAAUGUUAAGUCAUAGAAUCAAUAUUUGAAGAGCUGUAAAACAUAAAUCCCUAAGUCUCAAAGUGGAGUUGAAGGUAUGCCAUAUGUUAGUGGCCAAAACAAAAGUGCAACAAGCGUAGCCAAAAUCUUCAACUCAAAAUAUCAAGAGUGGGAUAUAAAAUACAAAUUCCUAAGUUCCAAAGUUUAGUCAAAGGUAUGCCAUGUGGCAAUGGCUGAGGAGGAAGUCCAAAGAAUGUAACAUGUUUGGAUCAAAAGUGUUAACUUGAAAACUUGAGAGUGGGAGUGGAACUCUUGAAAAAAGCACUUAAGGAAUAAGUAUGAAACAAUCAAUAAGUGAAUUUUAGAAAGAAAAAAAAGAAUGAUUAAUAUGUGGCAAAUGUUAUAACAUGUGAAAGUGUCAAAAUCAAAAUAGAACCCAUAGACUUGAAGUGUAACAAUGUCAAAACCAUCUCACGUACCUAAAAACCAAGUGUAUGAAGUAUCAAACAUAUCUGAGACUUGAUGUAUUUAGGGCAAGAUAUAUCCAAGGGUAAGGUAAAAGCUUAAAACAAUUAUUUCCCAGACCCUUAGGAGUUUGGUAAAUGCCUAUGGGAUAGUAAGGGGAGGACUUUAGAGAAACUAGUAUGACUAAGAAAGGCUAUAUCUAUAUGGUAGGUGAUGGUAUAAAUAUUAAGGAGCUUAAAGUUAGAGUGAAUAUGGAUAGAUAAAUGGUGACUUGGUAAAGUGUUCAAAAGUUAGGUUUUAUGGUAGAAGUAAUAUGUGACUUUGAUAGAUUAGUGUUUACUAUUAAAUUUCUUCAAAUGUCACCAACUUUAGCUCUUUUAGACAAUCAAAUGAUUAAUGCUCUCAAUCCAAAUCUAGGUGAAACUACUUAUUUAAAAAGAUUAUAUGGCUCAUCAAAACCUCACUCUAGCCAUAUGGCUAGGGCACCCUGGUGGAAAGUGGGGAGAGUACUCAUGAAAUUUAUGUUGGGCUAUAGUGUUUCAAAAUGUCAUUCUAAAGUCCCUAACUAUGGAAAGAAAGAGGAAUGGUCCUCUUGUUUAGUAAUUAAAGAUUUGGUUGCGUGGUGAAGAAAUUUUAGAAGUCAUUGGGAUUUGGUAGAUGGGCCUUUAGAUCCUAACUCAGUGAUAAGUAUUGCCAUUAUAAAGGGACUUGGUGGGGAUCAAAGAAGGAAUAUUAAAAGAUAAUAGUCCUUUAUAAUAAAAGUGGUUAUAAAGUGACUAUUAAUGUAAUAAAUAGUUUGGUUUUAGAAAAACAUGGCCUUACUAUAAUAGGAUGGUAUAUUAGCAGUACCUUUAGGUAUCUAAAGUGGGACAAUUCUACCUUUAAAAUUGAAAUUGUAUGUAUUAAACAUCCAUUAACGAAGGUAUCCACUAUUGGACUAUAGUACAAAUAUAUAACUAGUAAUCUUAUAUAGAAUAACUAGUUUAUAUAAUGGAAAUAUUGGUAAUUCAGUGUAGAAAUGGAGGUUUUGGUUCCCUUUAACAGGAAUAAAAAUAAUGUUAACAUUAAGGGUUCAUUGCUAGAGUUCAUCCAUUUUCUAUUAUUCAUGCUAGGAUGAUUGAAAUUUUAGUAGAUUCAAUGCAGAAAUAAAUAAAAACCCCAAAAAAAAGGACUAUAGUGACUAAAGAUGGUCUAUAUAUAAUUGUGGACAAUCAUUUGAGGGGAAGAAUUAUUAGGCACCAAUUUUGACUAUAUGGUCAACAUAAAUAAAAAAUUAGUUCAGGCAUGGACUUAGGGUAAAAACGUGAUUUUAAGCUCUUGAAUGGAAAUAAAUAUAAUGCAUGAGCAUAUUGAGAUAGUAAUGCACCAAAUAAGACUACUUUGGUAAAUUGACUUAAGAUUCAACUUUUUCUAAUGAUAAUUGCAUAGAGGAGUGCUUGCUUUGGCUAGGCCAAUAUGAAAAAAAAAUGGCUGCCAAACAUAUAGAGGCUUUAAUGGCUAUUCUAGUCUUAGAUGGUGAAAUUGGUUUAAGAAAUGAGUUUUAGGCUAUUUUUUCUCUAUGCUUUAUGUGAAUCUCAACACAUUUAAGAGAUAUGUGCCACAUGUUUAGAAUCAUAUUGUCCAUCCAAGUGUUAAACCUAACCCAACCUAUUAAGGAUGUUAACCUCAUAGGGUUAAGGGGACAUGUGUGUGUGCAUGUGAUCACCCCUUUAGCUCUUUAGCCAGUUGGCAUAGAGUGUAAAUAAUAGGAUCUUAACAUUGGUAUGAUCAAGUGGAAUAACGUUUUGAAAGAAUAUUCAUUAUGAUGGAUCUAGAAGGAGAAUUAACACUAUAGUAUAGGGUAUUUAGAGAGAGAAAUAGAGGGGAUAUGAUCUCUCCCUUUAGAGACAGAGAUCAUUGGUAUCAGAGCCUAGUUUGAUUCUCGUGGCUAAGAAGUGGGCAAAAAUAUUCUAAAGGAAUAUUCAAUAUGGUGGAUCUAUAGGAAGAACCAAGGUUUAGUAGUACCCUAAAAGAAAGACUACGGUGACCAAAGUAUGAUUGCAAACGAUCAUUCCCUAACAAGGGGAGGAUUGUUAGGUACCAAACAUUAAUUUUUUUCAAGGACAAAUUUGAAGAGUUUAUUGGCCCUUACAUUCUAUAUUUAAUCAUCUUUCAAACUAUUCUCUUAGAUUAUUUAUAAUUCAAUACAUUUCUCAUACCCUUAUGAACAAAAGCUAAAACCUAUAACUCUUUUGAGAUCUUCACUCUCUUACACUGUACCACUCAGGUUUAGCUAAGUAGGAGCAAAAUUAAAUCACUAAUAUCAAUUUUGAUUGCUUUAACCAACUACAAAGUUAGACUUUAGACACUUUUAAUACCAAAUUGCUUUGUGUUUUGAUUAUAACAUUUCAUCAGCAAUACUUGAGGAAGGAGUAGUAUGAGGUCUAUUCAUAUAUACCAUAUAGAUAUAAACAAGAUUAGCACAAGAUAAUCUAGAUUAUCACAAGCCUAAUCAGACUUGUUGAUCUAGAAAAUGUUUGUAUAAGUAUAGGCCUUGGUUCUCUCACACAUUAUAAAUUUAGAUAUUUAUUUAAGCAUUCAAACUCUUUGUUUUAUAAUAUAUUAUAGUGGAAGGACUCAAUCUUGUCAAACAAACUUAAUUUUAACAAUAAUUAAUUAUUUCAAAGAUUAAAAAUUAUCUUAAUAGUUAUUUGUAUGUAUAAUCAAAUUAUGUUAUAAAUAUCUUAAACUUAUAAUAGAAAUGUUUUUAAAGAAUUUAGUAAUUAUUAAACUUGACUAUUACUAAUUACAAUGUAAUGAUUAUAUUAUUUUGUCUGUUUUCAAUAUACAAUCAACUAAAUAUUUCAAUUUUUAACGUCUCUUUAUUGUAAUUUUUGAGUUAUAUUUAUUAGUAUAAAACAAGUACAUGAAGAUAUUUAAAUUUUGUAAAAUACACAUAUUAUUAUUAUUAUUUACUCAAUAUAAUAUAUUUAUUAUUGUACUUAUAUAGUAAAUUAUAAAAAUAAUUAAAUCUCACUUGCUGUUCAUAUUUUUUUAAAUUGAAAUGUUUUUUAGAAUUUUUAUUUAUUUAAUCUAAGUAAAAUAAGCUUAAUAUAACCUAUGUUUAAAAUUUUAGUAAAUAAGGAAACUCUAUAUAUUAUAUAACAGUAAUUUAAUUUAGUAAUUUAAAUAAACCUAAUUAUACUAAGAUAAAUAUAUAUUAUAUCACUAAUUGUUUUUUGAGUAUUUUCCAAUUCUUUGACUUUGGGGGGGGGGGGGGGCAGGUUCUAAAUGUAUAGUAGGGAUAGUGGCCAAAAGCAUUGCUAACCACUUGAAAUAUUAAUUUGGCUUCUACUAGACUAUAUCACUCUUUGAGCUUGGGUUUAACCCAAAUUCUAGAUGGUGGGGUACCCACUUUCUCACAUUAAGCCAGUAGUAUGCCAAAAUUAUGCUAUACUUUGCUAACAUUAUUUUGUUUGCAAGAGCUAAAUUGUAGUGCAUUGUAGUGCACAUGGUUUUUACCUUUUAUCCUAUGAUGAUUUAUCAUAAGAUAACCAUGAAGCGGAACCUAAACCCUUUAUAUGCCACGUGUUACAUGCCACAUGUCCAAAGGAUAGUGGUGCAAAACCCAAAUUUCAGGGCCUUGGGCUAUUGAACGAAGAGAUGGUGCCAAAUUCCCAAGCAUAGAGUUCAAGAGUACUGGCACUGGAGCACAGAAUGACUCUCAAGCAUACAACCCAAGGAACGAAAAAACAAAAACAUGAAGUGACUUGGAACAAUCUUAAAGUAUCUAACAUCUUAAUGCCAAGAUUAGCAUGCAAAACGAAGCCAAACAAAGUGUGGUGCUAUUUUACUAUACCGGUGGCCUAAAAUAAAGAUAUGGGUACUCCACCAACUAGCAUAGAAUGGAACUUGGGUUUAGACCCAAGCCAAACACAAAACAAAGAUAAACAUGCAAGCAAGAGCUAAACUAUGCCUUAUGUUAAUUGGCCAUACCUAAUUUACCCAUUAUCCCUACUAUACAUUUGAAACCCCUUAUAUCCCCCCACCCUUUGGGCUUUCACCCCAAACCACCUUUAGUAUUGAGAGUUAGUCUCUAGGACAAACUUGAAACUUAUUAAAUAUGGAAUGUCUUUAGAUUGCGAAUUUAGACACAAAAUGAACACCAUUGUGUUUAGGAUAAUCUCUACAUUUUGUAAAUAUGCCAAAUGAGCAAAUUUAGACACUUUCUAUAAAUAGCAUUUGGGACUGAAUGGUACUAACACAAAGUGCAUGAUAGCGAGGGUGUUUGGUAGACACGGUAAGCUAUCAUUUAGCGAAUAUUAAGGGAUCAAGCUCAAUAUCGCAGGGAUUCUCAACACUAGCAAGUGUAAGCCAACAAAUAAGUUUCUCUAACCAAGUCAAGUAUGCUUAAGUAAUAGCAUUUAGGAAUUCCGCCUUUAUGUUAAUUUGGUCAAGUGCACAUACGAAGACUAGUUUCUAAACUAGUUUAGGUGGAAACUAAUAAAGAAUUCAACAAUACCGACCUUUUGUUGUCAUGGCAGUAAGGAAAGAAUAUCUGAAAGAAUAUCUGAAAGAAUUAACUAAAAGGUAACUUUCGAUACCUGAAAUCACAUUCACAACAUAUACCCUAUCUUUCUCCCCUUAAGUUAACUAAAAAAGGGGUAAUUGUUUGAUAAGAAAGCUUUUAAUGGUUAUUUUAUCCCUAUUUAUCCCCCAAGGUUCCACGGUGAUAGUAUAUCUAAAUCUCAUCUUAUGAUGACAUGCACUAAAUUCACCCCCCAAAGUUUCAUAGUAAUAGUAUAUCUAAAUCUCAUCCCAUGAUGACAUGCACUACACUCACUUCAAAGAUGUCAAUGUCCUUAUUGACUUAACUAUUAAGCCAAAAAGAACUAACACUUCCAUAUCCUCAUUGACUAUUGACUAACAAUCCUUUCAUUAUGUAAAAUCUCAGCCUAUAAUGACAUAUGCUACACACAUUUCAAAGAUGUCAAUGUCCUUAUUGACUUGAUUACUAAGCCAAAAGGAAUUAACACUUCCAUAUCCUCAUUGACUAUUGAUUGACAAUCCUUCUAUUGUAUAAUAUAUUUAAAUCUCAUCUUAUAAUAACAUGCACUACACUCACUUCAAAGAUGUCAAUGUCUUCAUAACCCCUAUUGAGCCAAAGGGAACUAACACUUCUAUAUCUUUAUUGACUAUUGACUAACAAUCCUUUCAUUAUGUAGUAUAUUUAAAUUUUAUCCCAUGAUGACAUGCACUACACUCACUUUAAAGAUGUCAAUGUCUUCAUAACCAUUAUUGAGCCAAAGGGAACUAACACCUUCAUAUCCUCAUUGACUAUUUACUAACACUCUUUCCAUUGUAUAGUAUAUCUAAAUCUUAUCCUAUGAUGAUAUGCACUAUAGUCACGUCAAAGAUGUCAAUGUCCUUAUUGACUUGACUAAUAACCUUUAUUGAGCUAAAAGGAACUAACACCUUCAUAUCCUCAUUGACUAUUGACUAACAAUCCUUAUAUUGUGUAAACUAGUUAUUCCAUAUUGUGAGAUAAUUAAUCAUUCACCCAUACCAUAGUCCCACGGUAAAUUGUGUAGACCAACUAUUCCAUGUUAUAAGGUAACUAAUCACCCACCCAUACCACAGUCCCACAAUAAAUACUUUCUUCUAUAGAGCAUCCACAAGAGAACUAACACCUCUAUAUCCUCAUUGACUAUUGAUUAACAAUUAUUCCAUUGUGUAGAUUAAAUGUUCCAUGUUGUGAGGUAAUUAGUCAUAAAUUGUGUAAACUAACUAUUCCAUGUUGUGAGGUAACUAAUUAUCCAUCCAUACCACAAUCCCACAGUAGAUACCUUGUCUGUAGAACAUCCAUAAAAGGAAGGACAUAAUAUAUAUAAUUUCAAAUUUAGGAGUAAGAAUAUAUUUUACUCAAAUGUAUAUUAUAUUUUAAGUAAUCACUAAUAAAUAGGAAUCAAACCCAUGCCAUUUGCUCUAAUACCACAUGUAACACACUCUACCUCUCUCCUUUAAUUAGAAAAGGGGCAAUUGCUUAAUAAAAGAGCCUUUAGUAGCUAUUUUAUUCCUAUUUAUCCCCCAAGGUUUCAUAGUAAUUGUAUAUCCAAAUUCCAUCCUACAAUGACAUAUGUUAUAUAAAUGUAGAGAGUAAAUGCUCAUAAGGGAUUUUAAUGUAUAUUAAACCCUCAUUUAGCAUAAUAGGCUUGGAGACCAAAUAUACAUGCACUAUAAACUUGUAUCACCUAUGAGGUGCAAUUUCCAUUUCUCAUAUAGGAGUCUCAUUUGUUUGUGAGAUAUACCAAAAAAGAGUUACAUUUUAAAAUCGCAAAGCUUAUGAAAGAAGAUUAAAGAAAAUAGCGGGUGAGAUUGACUGGAAGAAUAUGCAUCUUAUCAGAGAUAAAAAGUUAUAUCUCAAUUUAAUUUUAUUUUUACACAAACAUUAAACAGUAGUAUAAAGUGGCAUAGUAUCAAUCCAAACUUUUUUUCAUUUUUAUGGGUAGAUUACACAAAACUUGCAAUAAAUUAAAAGAAUCCUCCACCACACAGAGAGGUGGCAUGAUAUCCAUCCAAACCAUAAAAAGAUAGCCUAUGGUUAAGGAUGCCAAAUAUAUAAACAUUGAUAUCUUUUUGCUAUUCACUAAAGAGAGUUAAUUUAUAUGAUAACUUUAAGCCUUGCUUUUUCCAUACAUGGCAUGAAAAAUGGUAUAGGCCUAAAAAAUAAUUUUAGAACAUGUUUGGAAAGUUUGAAUUUAAAGUAUAUUUUUCAAGAUUUGAUGCCAAAGCCUACUCCUCCCCUGCCACCUGGGUUUGGGGUCUUCAAAAAUCUGCCUUUCGAAAACACUAGGUUUGGCAUGACUAAACCACUAUAUCCAAUAAAUGAUAUACCUUGCUGCAUAGAUUCCUCCCAUGUGCAAUCACAUAUUGCCAUAUUUGUUCCGAGAUAUUCAUUAAUAAAAGAAUAAAAAUUUUCUGGUGUCUCAAAAGCCCACCCACAACAACCAUUGCCUGACACUAAAGAGCUAGAUAACUUAAGGGAGAUUACUAAUGUAUUUAGGAGGAACUUAGUUGAAGGCGACUGGGAGCAUCCGAGCCAUGUGAUGGAGCGGGCACUUGUCGCCCACUAUGCACUCUUCCUUCACUUUCUGAUUGAACCUAAUUUUGCUAGAUCGCUUUCAUACUGCCACUCGAUUCCUCUCUCUUUCGGCGUCUCCAUUAUCAAAUCGAUCAAUCCAUUGAUCUCCUGUCCCAGGUGCCGUGAUUUGGUUCCGUUUUGGAUCCAUCAUCUUUUCAGCAUUUUAAUAUAUCCAACGUUUUUUCUACGCGACCGUGCAGUGUGGGGUCUCCUGUGGAUUUUACGACAAUGCUUCCCAGACGAGCAUCGAGGAUUCCGCGACCACUGUUUGCAUGAUUUUGGUCGCUUCAAAGUGGUGAGCUUCCUCAUAUCUUUCCUUCCUCAAAGUUGGCUCUCUCGUCUCUCUUUUUCUUCCUUGCCUGCCUUCUCGUGCGUUUUCUUGGCUGUACGUAGAUUCCAGUCUCAUUGAAUUUGGUGAUUGGUUUUUUUGGUGUAAGCAGCGAUGCAUUCGAUCUGUCUCAAGAGCAUGGAACACGCGACCAAGAACGCCGCGGCCAUCCAACGCGAGCUCCUGCAGCAAAUCCUGGAGAAGAACGCCGGGACCGAGUACCUUACGCGGCAUGGCCUGGACGAGGAAUCCAACCUCGUCGAUGGCUUCUACAAGCUACCCCUCGUAGAGUACAAUGACAUCGAAGCGGACAUCAAGCGUAUUGCGGACGGCGACACUGGAAGAAUACUUUGCUCCGAUCCAAUCUCACAGUUCUUCAUCAGGUGUGUGGUUUCCGCAAAGUUUCGUUCUUCCUUGUCAAAUUCUUUCUCAGCUCAGGGACGACGACCGGACGAUCCAAACUCAUCCCGGUGACGAAAGAAGCCGUGGAUCAAGCGCACAAGAGGCCAGUCGAACUCUCGAUUCUUCCAUCCACCACUGAUAUCUCUGGCUUGGCACAGGGUGUUCACGAUCAAUCCGGACGAAACUUACUUGGCAUUCUGGUUCGCGAGCAAGCAGUCCCUCACGAAAGGUGGCUUCAAGGCCGAGACUGUCACAACCAGCGGUCUCAACAGCGCUCACUUCAAGCGAGCAGCCGCAUCCUUCGUCACCCCGCACAAGAUCUUCCAGUCCACCAGCAUGUACCAGUGCCUCUACUGCCACCUUCUCUGCGGCCUCCUCCGCCGCGAGGAAGUCACCGUCGUGAUCUCGGCCUUCGCCUUCGCACUGACCGAGGCUUUCCGGGUGCUGGAGCAAGUCUGGUCGGAGCUGCUCGAGGACAUCGAGGCUGGAAGCUUGAGCUCGAGGAUCACAGACCCGACUUUGCGGCUCGCUAUGUCCGGCAUUGCUCCUCCCAGUCCCGAGCUCGCAGAGCAGCUGAGAAGGGAGUUUCGAUCGUUUAGCAUGGACGGGAUCGUCCAGCGCCUGUGGCCCAACGCGAAGUCUGUGGUAGCUGUCACAACCGGAGCCAUGGCACCAUACGCCCCGAGGCUGCGAGCUCUUGCUGGAAAAACUCCGGUGGUUUGCGGAAACUACUUCAGCUCCGAGUGCUUGAUCGGGAUCAACCUCAGCCCGGCCUCGUCGCCAGCCACUUUCACCGUCAACCCGGAGUUUGCGUACUUCGAGUUUCUUAGCUACCACGACGGUGAAACCAAGUUGAAUGGCCUGGAGGAGCAACGUCCCGUUGGUCUCACGGAGGUGAUGAUCGGAGAGAAGUAUGAGAUCGUGGUGACAACUCGAUCUGGUACGUUUUGCUUCCAAGUUCUUCGUUUUUCUCCCUGUCAGACCUUGGAGUUCACAGGUCUCUAUCGAUACAGGCUCGGAGAUGUCGUCCAAGUGGCCGGCUUCUUCAACUCGAGCCCGAGCCUGAGAUUUCUUUUCCGGAGAAACGUGGUGAUGAGCGUAGCCACUGACAAAACGGACGAGUUCGAGCUCCAGGCCGUAGUCCACAAGGCCUCAUUGCUGCUGCGGAGCUCAAGCCAGCUCCACGACUUUGCAGGCUACGCCGACUUCUCGUCCAUCCCGGGACAUUACGCCAUCUUCUGGGAGCUCAACCACGGCGGCUCCAUGGAUCCGAGCACCCUGCAAGACUGCUGUGAGCUCCUGGACGUGUCUCUCAACGAUCCUUACUUGCGCGGGAGGAGUAGUGGAGCCAUCGGUCCUCUAAAGCUGUGCGUGGUGAGGGGCGGGAGCUUUAGAGAGCUGUUUGAGCAGCACGUCGCGAGAGGCGGGAGUGGAAGCCAGUACAAAUCUUGUCGCUGCGUCGCGAGCAAACAAGCCAUUGAUCUACUGCGAAGAAACACUCUCCAGCAAGCCUUAAGUUCGAAGUUUCCAAAUCCCUGGAAACUAAGUAUUAAGUCUCUGGAGCUUGACCAAUAAUCAUGUAGCCAUUUUUACCGUGAUCGUUAUCGCGACUGACAAAACGAGAUCUUCCUCGUUUGGAUUUGGAGAGCUUGCAUCUGCGAGAACUAACAGCACCUACUUUACAACAUCGGUGUCUUGAGCCGAGACAAGGGGAAUGAAAAUCAAUCUUUCACCUACACCCAAACCACAUCGUGAGAAGAACAGCAUAAAUGAAAAUGAGAAUUACUUACACCGGAAGGUCUUCUUCCGUGCCUGUGAGCACCGUAGCUUUCUUCCGGGUUCUCAUUGAGUGCUGCGAAGAAGAAGGCGGGGACAGCACAGUAGUUGGUCCUUUUUGCUUGAGCUUCUGUCGCACUUGGUAGAGAGGAGUGUCAUCGUCAUCUUCUAUCUGGUCCUCCGACUCCGAUGGUUGCUCCUCGUCGCUCUCGGACUCAUCUCCAAACAGCUUCUUCUUGUUGUUAGUCUUGGCGUUUCUAGGUGGCCGAGGAGGCUGGUCAUGCUUUCCUGGAAAACAAAGAAAAAACAAAAGCAGAUGAAAUAGAAAGAAAAAAGUCACUACUGACCUGGAGCUUCUGUUUUCGACACCCUCUCCUGGAGAUGCUCCAGGAAUGUCUGAUAUGGACGCCAUCCAGUCGGAUCUUGAUCUACAUCGUCGUCGUUUACCCUGCUUUGCACGUUCUCGAUGCUGCAAGCGCAAGUGAGUGGCUUACAACGCAAGGAAAUAUAAGAGAACUUACAUAUCUCGUAUGUCGGCUGCAGCUAAUCUUUGUAAGAAUGGUAAAACGCACGCCUCGAGAAAUGACAACUGCGUGGGAGUAUCUUCAAACGCAUGCUCCACGCCAUUUCUUACGAGCUUUAAGAUGCUUGGCCUGUGGAUGUUACGGGCGAAACCGGAAAAUGUCGCUGAAAGACGGUUCGCUAGCUCCUUACAAAGCUCAAAUGAUUUAGGCUUUGCUUCUUCAUCGUCCUCUAAAUGUCUGCUGUAGGCCUGAAAUUUUUUCCAGAGUCACAACAUGCUUUGCACAAGCUGGCUCACCUUCUUCAUAGCGUCUAGAUAGAGGCUACAUAGCUCUUGGGACUUCAUAUUCUUUUUGAAGACGAGAAUUAGCUGCUUUAUGGUCUCCUCGACUCCCUUGCCAUGGAGCACGUAGUGCGAUAUGAUCUCCGACCCAAUAAAGUCCUGAAAUUUCAAGCUUUGUAGUCCCUCUGAAACUUUCAAAAGGAGACGUACCUUAGGAAUCAUUUCAUGCGCAACUAGCUUUGCAGCCGACGUGAUAACGAUAUCUUUCUGGCUAAAGUAAUCCGCUUCUUCCUCUCGCUCUACCUCCAUGUCGUCGUCAUCUGAAUCUGAAAGUAAAGAUUCAGUUGUUUAUCACCAUCUACACUAAAUAUUUUUACCAGGUACAGAUAGCCUGAGUUCGCACAGCUCCCAAAACUUCUCCAACCUCUCUGAAGAGGGAGAAAACCCCAAUCGUUCAAUUUUCGUAGAGGACAGCUUUUCUUUGCUGAAUAGGCUGCAAAGGUCCGAGAAAAUGGUGCAAAUCUGGGAUCACGUGAGAGUUAGCUUCUGAGUGAUUCGUCAGGUUCAAGACCUACCGUAGAACUUAGCAAGGACUUGGUCUGCCCGUCACUGAAACUCGAAAUAACAUUGUCCAUCUGAGUUUCAAGGUGCUUAUAAAGUGUAGAUCUCUUGGUUAUAAGACUCGUUAAUUGAUUCUCAUCUGGAUUAUCGUGGUCAAUACUUUUGAGAUACCAUAUCACAUACAGAAAUAUGUUUGUCAAAUCUAAUUGCACAGCCUGAAGCAAGUAGGGUUGUAAGAUAGAAAACAAUAAAAGGAACUAUACCUCGUCUUCCAAAUCACUGAAGUCUUCCAGAAGUGUGAGUAGAUCUUUGUAGAGCUCUUCAUUAUUUAUAGGCAUUGCCAACUGCAAAUGCUGUAACCGUCGUAAGUUCACCGUAAGAGAAUAGUCGUCUUCAGUUUCCUGAUGAACUCGAGUCAGUACAAGGCAGAAACAACGGUAUCGAAAACGUUACCCCCGCGUGCUCAAUGGCCGAUCUCAGUUUGCGAAUAACUUCAUCAGUCGUUUCUUUCAAAACGCGUUGAGCAGCAUCUUGAAGAUCUGCCUUCGUCUCACUAGCGCAAAAGACUAAAGUGUUGACACAUGUUUGCAACGUCUUGCGGUCCCCAUGUUUAAAGAACGCGUCCCUUGUGAGCUCAAGAGAUGAAAUGCAGCUCUAAUCGCAAUACACAAAAUAAUUUAGACUAUCAUGCAGUUGUGUAUGUACCUGUUCUUGCUGCUUUAAUGAAUAGAGAUCAAGAUUCAUAUGUUGCAUGAUCUCAACGAUAUAACACACUUUAGAUUUGUCCGCAAGAUAUUUCCUUAACAACUUCGGAUGAGGCUUGAUCAUUGCCGUUGUCAAUUUCUUCUUACUGGACUCAAAAGCCUCCUGCAGGAUAGCAAAUCAACAAUUCUGUCAAACCAUAGACAAAAUACCUUCUGCGCCUUCGUUAGUGUUGCCUUGCGACUGUCAAUGGUAGGCACCAGUUUCUCACCAACUGAUCUCUUUGCAGAACCACCAAGAACCCUGCAUAAACUUGCAAUAUCAACAUCUGUCAGCUCCUGAUUCUCACUGUCAUCCAGUAGCAUCGAAAUUAGGCACUUCCAGUCCUACAACACACAGCUUAGAGGGGAGUGGUGAAGAAAAGGAAAAUGACAAACCUGCAUAGCCUUCAUUUCUUCCCAGACAGCAUCGAUAACAUAAUCGCUUAGAAUGGGAUCACUUGCGAAGUCUUUCAGGAUCGUUAGCAAUCUCUUUAACUGGACAUCAGAUUUAUCGCUGUCCUCGCCUUCUGUAGAGAAAAAAAGUUUUAAGUGGCUCUAAACAGCAUAAUACACACCUUCUGCGUUUGGCACGGCAAUCAUCUGCUCAUAAACUAGCUGCCCUACAGCGUGACGAAUCGAAGGCGAUUCAUCGAUCAAAAGAUCGUACAGAGGGCUCACGUCUUUGAUAAGUUGAUGCCUGAUUCAUUGCACAACUUAGUGAUUAAUCGCAGCAAAACCAAAACGCACCUUAGCAGCUGUUUAAACAAGCCGAUGGCGCUCACUGCAACACUUAUAUCAACAUCAUCCGCUAGUUCGAUCAUUCGAUUAGAAAACCGUUGUGUAAAUAGCGCCAUAGAAGGUACAUUAUCAUCAAUCUCGUAGAUAGCUCGGAGAGCCUCAAUAGAGCUCUUGCGGACGGCUACGUUCUUCACAAUGUACAGUUAGAAGGCAUGCAAGCGGGAAAGCUUUUCAUACCUUAUCGCUGAGCGUCCAUCCGAUAUACUUUAGAUAGAGGUCAUUGAGGAAGUAGGACGGGUAUGAUAUAACCCAUCCACCAAUGGCUUUGACGCAUGCAACUCUGAAAUCUACGUCGACGUCACGAUACCGAUGCAUAAAGAGCCUGGGAAGGAAUUCAUAAUCAGAAAAUUGAACCUUAGAGAAAAAUGAUCGUACCCGCGGAUUAUGGCCUGGAUCAUACCCUCGAUUUUUGUUAUUUUAUCGUGCGUUUGAGACAGGACUUUGUUGAGCGACUCGAUGCGUGCAGCAUCCUUCCGUUUCUUCUUUUCCUCGGCAAUAAGCUGGCGCUGUUUCGUUUCCCGAGAUUGAGAAAGCGUCUUUGCAACGGUGACAAAUGAUGUCGCGAGCUGAAGUCCGAUGAGCGUCGAGACAUGCCGGAAGUGCCUAGGCGGGGUGCUGAAGAGGCCAACGUGAGAACGAAAGUAAGCAGAACUUUUUUUUAACUUGCCAUGAGAGCGCCGUCACAAAGUUUAUGCACAUCUCCAUAAGUUGUUCGUCAAAAAGUGGUCCGUUUUGGCAUUCUAGAACGAAGGUAUCCCAGAAUAAUGUCAGAUUGUCUUUAAAACCACGCAGAUCCUUUUGCUUCGACGUAACAAAAUCUUCCACAUCCCCCUAUUUCGCAGGCAAUGAGUACUGAAAACAAAAACUGGACAAAACAGUCACGUACCGCUUUAGCCUGACUAACAAGCUCGAGAACAACCUCAUCAACAUUAAUUUCGUCGAGUAAAUCUUCGUCAAUAUUGUACUUCGCACCGCAAGCCUUGAUAGACGAGCGUAAGGAAAAACCGUGGCAAGAACAAAUGAAAAUCCCACAAAAGCUAACCUCAAAUAUACACAUAAUAAGUUCGCAUGUCGCCGGCCGCUGGCUUGAUUCGUAGCGAUCAAUCCAGUUCUUCACAGCUCGAGGAACAAGCUUCCCAUUAUGCUUGAUCACGUCUGAGAAAAGUUGCCAAUGCUUCAACGCGGCCAGAAGAAAAGACAAUACCCUCACCUAUUAAGCUUUGUCGAUCAUCACUGGAAUCCUCAGACUGCCUGUUCUUCCUCUUUUUUCCUCGAUCAUCUUGCUCCAAACUGCUGUCUUUCCCACUCUCGGACUCCAAAGACACUUGCCGCUUGCGACGUUUCUGUGAAAGAUUUCAGACAUCUCCAAAAAUGUUGAAAUUCCUACCGGAGGAAGCCCAUCUCCCCGCGCCGCAGCUCCCCGCUUCUUGGAUUGCGCCGGUUCUUGCGCCGAGCCCUCCUCAUCGCUGCUGCUCGCGUUCACUCUACCUCAAGGAUGCAUCAGUCUAGCCCUGCCAAGAGACGAGAUCACACUUACUCCUGCCACAGCCGCGUCUUCUCCAAUUCCUCCCUGCUGAGCCUGCGCCUACUGCUCGACGCCAUUCCACGAACCCUAGGCGAUCCCGCGCUCUAAAGCGUCCUCUUCACUUCGCCAUAGCUAAAUGAGAAAACCCUUUUGCGCGGGGAAAGCCCCGACCGUACACAAGGGAUCCCGGUUUUCCGUACCACAAGGGUAACUUUGUUUUUUACGUUGCAUUGUUCUCUCUCGUUCCUCACACAAUAGCUGGGGAGCUAUCAAAGCCCUUUCUCACAAUCACAGGAGGUUCCUAGAUAUCACCAAGAACGAGAAAAAAAAAUCUGGCCAUCAAAAAACAUCUAGAAACUGUGAUUUGAUCGUCACUCUUACCUCGUAUUCCUCAAAUCUGUGUCCAUCGAUCGUCAUGAUGCUGGGAGUGAUCCCCGGCGGUGGUGAAAGCCAAUCUUGAGCUUCCUCCCAGGCGCUUCUCGCCGUGGAACACUCCGGAGUUCUCGGAGAGCUAAAACUCACUGGGCCUUCCCUCGAUGCCAAGCUCUUAUUAACAAAGCCUGGAGCAAACGCUGUGGUGGAAUCUUUAACAGCUUUCGCCUAGAGGAAAACCAAUUAGAAAUAUUAGAAUGUAAGCAUCGUUCUUCAUGGAAGGAUCAGCCGAGAACCUUGGGCUUGAGAACCACAGCAUUUCUUCGAUAUCCCAUGACCAUCUUGCCUCCAGGAUCGAUCCGGCUGAAAGUAACUGCAACUUCCAACGUUAGAUCAAUGCCUUGGAGUGCUAUAAGUCACUCACCUACAUCACCGGCUUGCAGUUGCAAUGCUUUGACGCAAGGAGUGAUGCCUUCCAAAACGUACAUCCUGCUGCUGUUGUUUGGCCAGAACCGAAACUGGAAUUGCCACUCUUGGCCUUUCGAGUCGCUCAUUUUGAUCGGUAUUCCCUCGGGCGAAGAUAUGGGAGGAAAAAAAGCCUGACAAAGGAAACACCACGAAACGUAAGACCUCACAAAUCCCUGCGUAAGUUUGUAUGAACUUCAGUACCUCAGCACAAGCUUUUGGGAGCACCAAGCGGCCGAUUCGUCCAGCAUCACUUGCCGUGAGGGUCUUCUCGAAUAACGGUACGACGGUGGUGGAGCUUCCACAAGUCAGGAAACACUACUGAAUCUCUGAAGAGAGAAAACUAAGAAAAAAGAAAGAACUAGCAAGCAUACCUUCCGUCCGGCGUUUGCUGCUGCCUUUCCUUGUCCGUCACAACGUCCGGGCCCAACUGUUUGUGGCAUCCUCCGAGCUCGUCGAUUGCUGGAACGUCCUGCGGUUCCUUUUCUUCAGGGCUUUCUAGCUUUUGCCUUUUAACCGAGCCAGCGAGAGAUGCUGCUUGUUCAUCCUCGGAAGAUUGAUCCGAGGCCUUGACUCUUGUGAGAGAUGUGGAUUCGGAGGACACAUUUGCCGGACCUUCAACUGUCUAAAGUCCCACGGCUGAAAUAAUAGAAAUGAAGCUUUGAGUCGUACGAUACCUUGCAUGGAGUCAAUCCUUUCGCGCAGCUCACGCAUUCAACCCCACCAAAAUCGAGAUGAACAAAAGAAGACACUGAUGCAAUGCAUCCACAGUGGACAGGCUGCAUUUCAAUAUCAAAAACUUAGAUCCAAAGACGAAAGAAAACAAACACUCACCUUCUUACAAUUGUUACAUGUUCUCCAUCCCGCAUCACUGGAAUGAAAAGUCUCGCAGAAUCUCGAUUGCUCGUACACCAACCUGUGAGAAACACCAGCAGCAUUUCACCCGUAAAUUGUCCAUCUUCACAAAAACAUUUUGAAAAGAGUGAAUUCACUCACCCGCAGUAGUCGCACAAAUCCGCUAUUCUCCCCGACUGCAAGCCCCAUCCGGAUUUCCACACGCUGCUGUUGGUCGCGGGGCAUUUGGUGUUCCAACAGACCUUGCGCUUGAGAUGAUCCAUCGCUCCGGUCCUCCUGCCCUAGAAACAGAGAUCCCUAUCGCGCGCUCGCGCCUACGGUGCCCCAAUGCAUCGCUCCCGCGCAAAUCUCCACCCGCAUUCUAGCUACGUCGAGGAGAUCUUGCGAGUGCUUCUUCGUCCACAGGAACUUUAGGGCUUUGUCUUGGACACGUGUCAAAUAUCUAAAUUGUUCGGAUGGUUCCACGUGGACUUACUUAAUGUGGAGGCUUUUGAGUAAAUACAUACUUAAUGUGGAUAAAUACAAUAGCACAAAAAAAAGGCACCAAUCAGUUGUUUUCAUUUUCCCCAGUUCGAGCUAAGCAUAGUUGAGCCGAAAGAUGUCGUUGAGGACGAAGAGGGAACCCUCGGCCGUGGGAACGAGAUGGAACAUCUAGAAAAAAAUCCACAAAGAAAAUCGAUUCCAAUGAUUCAAUCCAAGUAGAAACGAAGAAAAUUGAUUCGAUCCAAUCCAACAAGCAAAAGAUCGAUGGGGGGGACCAAAAGCGCACCAAGAGAAAACGAAAGAUCUAUGGCGGGAUCAAACAGAUCUAAAGGAAACGAAGUGAAACUUGCUAGCAUAAAGCAGGAAUCUCUUUCUUCUUCGAGCUCGAGGAGGAUCACGCAGGGAUCUAAGAACUCUUGAGCGCCAAGCAAAGAAUGGAGGAGGAUCAUACCUGGCUGAAUUUGAGGGGGUGCUCCUCGCCGGGCAGCUGGAGGAUCCCGCUGACAAAGACGAGCAUACCUCCGUGCGCGCCCGAGGGCUGGCAGUCGACCGUGGAGAUGUUGUGCUUGCACUGCUGGAAGGGCAAGCUAUUGAGCUUGUUGGCGAUGUUGGGCGCGCCCUGGAAUUGCUGGCCCUCGAAGGUGAGCAUGGACGCGUCCUGGUAGAGCGAGACGAGCCCGGCGCGGUUGGCGUCGAAUGUGUUGUAGUAGUGAUCCACGAAUGCCCGCGACACCUGAUCGGGAUCCAUGGCCGCCAUCGAUCGGAGCCCCUGCGCGAAGAACCCUAGUUUUUGCUUGGCGAGUUAUAAUCUAUUCCUUUUUUCCGGUUUGCUUUAUUACACUUUUAUAUCAUAGUUGCUGACUCAGCCCUAGCAUGUGUGGCAAGUGACGUGUCAGGUGAGUUGGCGUGGCGAGAUGCCAGAGAGACAUGUGGCACUGACCUGGCAGAUGCCCUAUGUGUGGGGCACCUGCCAAGUGUCACCGCGGCNNNNNNNNNNNNNNNNNNNNNNNNNNNNNNNNNNNNNNNNNNNNNNNNNNNNNNNNNNNNNNNNNNNNNNNNNNNNNNNNNNNNNNNNNNNNNNNNNNNNNNNNNNNNNNNNNNNNNNNNNNNNNNNNNNNNNNNNNNNNNNNNNNNNNNNNNNNNNNNNNNNNNNNNNNNNNNNNNNNNNNNNNNNNNNNNNNNNNNNNNNNNNNNNNNNNNNNNNNNNNNNNNNNNNNNNNNNNNNNNNNNNNNNNNNNNNNNNNNNNNNNNNNNNNNNNNNNNNGGGAUUCUGGCGGCGUUAGCGCUGGCGGGCACAGUGAUCACCGUGACGGUGGUGGGCUUUAUCAUCGCCUCGCCCUUCCUGCUCUUCUUUAGCCCCGUGCUGGUGCCGCUUGGCACGCUCUUCGUGAUCGGCACCGGGAUGUUUGCGGUGUUUUGCUCUGCGGUGUCGUGGCUCUACCAGUACAUGCGCGGCGGACACCCUCCAGGCUCGGACAAGAUCGACACGGUGAGGAGGAGGAUAGCUGAGUCCGCACAUCAUUUGAGCGAGAAGACGCAGGGCACUGGCGGUGAUAUCAGCCGCUACUUGCAGGACGCAGCCAAGGCUUCGUAAGAUCUUCCGGCUAAGCAUCCGAGCCAGCUCUGCAGCGAUUUCCAUUCCCUUUAGCUGUUUCUCUCAGAAUCGAGAGGAGUUUCCUCGAUCGAUCGAUGAAACUCCAUUCUCUUUGUCCUAAGUUUGUAGCUUUGCAGCAGAGCUUCUUUUUGUGUUCGUUGUCAUGUGGUGAAUAAGAAACUCCCAGAAUCUCUGAAUAUCUCCUUUCUAAUUGUAGAAUCUCCUUCUUAUUAGUAUUUCAUUCUUUAAACUACAAUAUAUUCAUAGAAUAAGUAUAUUUGUAACCAAGUAUUCUUCACUCUUAAGAAUUUAUUUGUCUAUCUAUCUGAACACACUUCAGCAUCCAAAAAUAUAUACUCAUAUAUUUGAGUGUCAUAUGUGGUUGUGAUGUAUGCUCACGUCUACUUUGUCUCCGUCCAUCAUCUCUCUGUCACUAGCACUUGUCCCCGCCUAACACAGAUAAAUUCUGGCGCCAGCCCCAUGGCUGCCGAGGGCGGGAGUUUAUGCAAACAUUCGACAAAGGACAAUCUUGGGAAUCUCGGUAAACGAGCCUAGCAACCUGGGAUCAAAACAAAAGCGCUCUUUGAUUGAAUGUCACUGAGAAAUGAGGUGUUUUGGUGGCAUGUCCUGUAUAACCCAAUCUUAUGGACGGUCUAAAUGUGAAUUUGUCCUAGUAGAUAUUAGGUUAAUACAUGAUGUCCAUUAUAUAGAUUACUAGUAGACUAGAGCCAAUGUGUUUUAAUAUGGAAUCACCUUUAGUGCAUAUUGCGCAGCAAAUGCUAGUACAAAAAUCAAUAAUUUUAAACAACUUUUUCUUUUGAUAUUUUUAUAGGUAUAUAUAUAAACACACAAUACUAUACAGCAUAUGCUAUAUAUUUAGAACACUAAUAUAUUCCCAAAGUGAAAAAGAAGAAUUACUCAGUAAAUAUUAUUGAUAAAUAUAUUAUAUGCAUUAUUACUUUGGAAUAUGAAUAUAUUUAGAAUACUAAGAUUUUAAUACUCAACCCAGAAAACAAUUAAAAUAAAUUUUCUAAUUAUAAUGUUUUUAUAGUUAUAAAAAUAAAUAUAUUUAUUACACUUUCAGACAAUAAAAAAUAAAAGAAGAAUUACUAAAAAUAAAUUUUAUUAAUUAGAAUUUACAUGUAAAGUAUGUUUUUUACUGGGAUUAUAUAUUACUACCCAGACCCGUGUUACUAACAUGGACCGUGAUCCCGGCCGUGGUCACCGGGAUCACGGUCCGUGUUAGUAACACGGACCACUGUUCACGAACACGGCCGUGGGAACACGACCCAUGGCCGUGUUCGUGAAACACGGUGAACACGGCUGGGAUCCCGGCCGUGUUCGUAACACUGACCCAGACUCAUAGAAAUGUAAAGAAGAACUACUAAGAUUAAUUAUUAUUAAUUAGUAUAUAUUAUUUAUGUUUACUUGGAAUAUGAAUAAAUAUAUAACCAAGAUUAAGAACAUUAAUAUAUUACUAAGACCCAAACAUAACCUAAAAAAAUAUUGUACAUAUCCUUAAACUCAAACACCUAGAAAUGGAAUCGAAAUAAAUCAAUUUAAUUUUAAGUAAUAUAGAUAUUAGCAAAUAAUUACUUUGCCAUGUUCUUUUUUUAGAAUAUAAAACAAUAAAGUUUAAGAACACUAAUCUACUACCCAGACCCAAGUAAAAUUAAGAGAAGAAAUACAAAAACAUAAUUGUUAUUAAGAUAUAAACUAUAAAUUUAAAACCUGAUAUUCUAUGUUUGUAAGAUUUAUAAAGGUGUUUAAUUUAUUUGUACUAAGACUAAGCUAACCCACACCUUGAGCAUCAACGUCAUGUUUGAAAUGUAAUAGAGAGAGGCAAUCUAUAUGGAAUUGUUGUAAUUGCCCAAUCAAUACAUCAAUAUAGCUUAUCAAUUAGUGAGGGGUGACUCUAUCUAUAAACGAAACAUAUACAUAAAGAAGAAAAUUGUAAGACAAGAUAAGUGCCAUCUUAGUUAUAUUAACUGAUUGAAAGUCAAAAUGAAUUUUAAUCAUAGUAUCCAAGUUAGGAAAUUAUAUUCUUGGCCCAAUGGUUUCUAAAUAACAUCCCCUAUACAAUCACCAGCACACAGCAAUCAAGCCCUACAAGAACCCUAAGAGCUGUUGUUCUCAUGCCCACACAAUUCCUCACAAGAGUUUUUCAGGAGCCAAAAAAAAUUGAUAAGCAAUGUAGGAGGGCCAUAGACUUAUAACAUGCAACAUUUUUUGUUGCCUACUGUCCACGCUUAUUCCCUAGCAAUUCUUUACCCCAGCACCUAGUCUCCGCCCACAAAUUCAAAUAGUAAAUGCUCAUCAUAGAACUGAGUGCUAAUAGCAAACUGGAUCAAUUAAUUUCCUAUGGCACUCCUCUAUUGGAUAGCCAUGGCACUCCACUUGGCGCUCCACUGCUCCAAAAUGCUGGCCAUAGCACUCCACUACUAGUCCAGCCCUAGGGAAAGAAGUGAGAACUAGGAUGGAAGAGAGCAUAUGCAUGAGUCAAGCAUGGCAACCAUCCAUAAACCCUAGAGCUCCUAGGCUUUCCACUUAGUGGCUGCUGACCACCCCUGUGGUGGUGUUGGUCACCUCCUCUCCCGCUUCUCCACAAACCCUAGAGCUCUUGGGUGGCCAUUGACCACCACAAAUAUCCCUAUGCCAUAAAGAUCCCUAUUGCUGCCUCUCUCUUGACAAUUGCCUCUUCUUAUUGAGGAAGAAAACUUGCUUGAAGAAACUCCCAAUGAUCAUCAAGCUCCUCAAAUCUUGGACACAUCCUCCUCCUCAAGCUGCAUUUUGAGCACAUAGCUUCCUCCUCCACAUGGCUCCAAUGCCAUUGCCAGCCCUACCACUCAUGAUUGGCUUGUAGAGCUGGGGAUGCUCCUCAUCUAUGAGUUCCAGAGCAAGGGCAAUGGCUGAAUCGAACAGGUAGAUGUAGUUGGAAGUGAUGGACAUCUUGGGACAUGAUGCAUUCACUUUCACGUGAUGGAGACAAAGUAGAACAAGAAAAACUUUACCUUGAGGAGAUCAUUGACAUUGCUGGUGAUUGCUUCUGGGAUGAGCUCAACAACUAGCAAGGUGUUGUUCUAGAGAACUUGGAGGCAGGGAAUGCCAUCCUGAAAGAGCAAUGUGAGUCCUCCAAAUUUGGAAUAGGGGCUCGAUGCCAAGUACUUUGUCAGACUCUAGACAACUAGAAUAGUAGUUCAUCAAGAUGGAUUUGUUGGGAGAUCUAGUGAUGGGAUAACCAUUGGGAAGUCCAAGGCUAAAGUGAAUACGGACCGACAAGCAGGGUAGCUUGGUGAAGUGUUCAAAAGCCGGCUCUAGUUCCCUUGGGAGAUCGAAUGGCCAAUACUCCCAGUCCAAGAGUGGGUGGCACUAUCUACUUGGAUACUUGGCAUGGCUUAACAGAACUUCGCUCUAGGCCCAUGGCUAGAGCACCCAAAGGCGGAAAGUGGGGAGCGUACCCAUAAGGCUCGCAUAAGGCCACAGUGUUUUGAAAUGUUGUUCUAAAGUCCCAGACUAUGGAAAGGAAGAAGAGUGGUCCUUUGGUGUAGUGACCAAGAAUACAGUCAUGUGGUGAGGAAAUCUUAGAGGACGAUGGGACUUAGUAGUCAGGCUUGUGGGCCUUGUCCCAGUGGUGGUAUUGGUGAACACGGCCAUGGACAGAAAAGGGACUUGGUGGAGACUGUAAAAAGGAUAUUGAGGAAGGUUAUUCCCCAUGUCUGCAGGCAUCUUUAGAAUGCUAAAGAGUGGACCUAAGAUAGUCACUCAUGGAUGGAUAGCUUAGUCUUUGAGAGACAUGACUGUGAUGCAGGUGGUGUUAGACCACCGAUGUGACCAAGGUGAAUGGGCAUGGCUUUAGCGUAAUGGGCUAGUAUGUCGGUGGUACCUUGGGGUGUCAGUCAUUGGAUCGGACAUGUGAAGCACUUGGACCAAGUAAAAAGGUUGAGUGGCAUGGAUGCCAAUUCUCAGGGCUAGUAAGCCCCAAGUCUUGAAUUAAACUUAUGAAGGUUGUCCAUGAGGUUCCUCCAAGUGGUCGGAGGUGUGGUUAAGUGAUUAAAGUAGAAAGGAAAAAUUAAUUACUUAUAUCGAGGUUAAACUCAGGCCAGCAAACUUGAGAACUUUGGCUACUCGGGGGCCCAAGGUUAUUCAAAUAACCUCGGCCCCUCUAGCCACUAAAGUGCAUAAGAUCAAGUUUGGGCUAGCCACCUCGGGCACUUUAGCCACCCAAGGUUAUUCAAACAACCUUAGCCUCUCGAGUAGCCAAAGUGCCUGAGGUACUUGAUAUUUUUUCUUUUUUUCUUUUACUAUUUGAAUUUUUUAUUAUUUUUGUUUAGUUUAACUAACAAAAUGUCUUCUCUUGUAGAAAAGGAAAAUAGUACUACCUAAAAAGGCUGUUAAAGCCAAGAAAACAUGAGAAAUUAAAUUCAACACUAGUGAAAAUAUUACAAUUGACAUAUCUAUUGACACAUCGUGCAAUAAAUUUUAAAACAAAAGUUGCAUCAAGACCAUUUAGAUGUGGUAAGGGAAACUUAUUGCCACCUUCAUAAAACUCACUUUGGGCAAAUAUAGGCUAUCACAGCUCUUAUUACUUUCUAACUCACUCUAUAUUCUACAUCUUUUAAUUUGCCAUAAACAUAUGUUAUCAAGUUCUCACAUUGGAGGAGAAGCUCUUCAAAAAGCACUUGAACUACUAUAACACUCUUGAGAGGAUACAUUUAUAAUCUUUAGAUACUAGUGCAAUUUACAUUGGUCCAUUCAAAACAAGGAGUUAAGAUCCUUCAUUCUAACUUAUCUACGCAAAAAUUUCUUCAUUCAUUGCAAAAUUACUUACUUGUAAAGCAUUUUUCAUUACCCUUACCAAGGAGAGUGCCCAAAGUAUGCAGUAAUAGUAAACUCAACCCAUGGCAUUUGAAAAGCACUUAAAAUAUGCUGAAAAACAUCACACCUAAAACUCUAACCCAAACUCUAAACCCUGCUGAUGUGUCAAAAAACAUUUAACAUGAAGAUGCAAUGCAAAAAAUUGCAUAUAUAACAUUAAUUUAGACUUUGCCAUGCAUAUGUGGCAAACACUAAUGCAUACUUAUGUAUUAAAAAAAAGUUAUGCUCAAAAUAUUAUUUUGUGAAUCACAGUGUGUUACAAUAAUUUAAGCAUGUAUGUGGUUUUUUUUCAUAUAUAUAUUUUUGAAGCAUGCAAGAUUUUUUAUCAGGCCAUUGGGGGGUGUACCUCCCCUCCAAAAUUGUAAUAAAGAACUGCUUGUCAUAAUUGGAUGGACUUUUGUCAUAGUUGUCAUAGUUGGAUUUUUUAAGAAUUGAGUUCUAAUUUAAAAAUAGCAAUUUAAAAAUAUUUGCUAUGCACUAUAAGACACUGAAUCUAAAUAAUUACAAUCAGUUAUCAAUCCUUCAGCAUCCCAAAUGCAAAAUCCACUAUCAAAGCUAGCACUCACAACAUAUACUAAAAUUCUAGUGGCCAAAGUUGCACACAGUUCUAAAGGUUUGUAAGCAUUUUUAUUCAAAAAUUAUGUGUUAGAUAAGAAAUUCUGUAAAAACAAUUCUUUUGUUAUUUGGUUCUUUGCUUCUGUUUAGAAGAUCUCUUUCUUUUCUUGUUUGCUGGCUUUUGUGUUGCUUCAUCAUCGUUAGAACGCACGCCUUCAUCGUCUUGCUCAUCGUCAUCCGAGAGAAGAAGAUCUUCGACCCUGUCCUCCUCGACCCCCGCUUGAUCGCCUUUCUCUUUCUCCUCCUCUUUUUGUUGCUUCUUCGUAAGAAUCUCAGUCCUGCAAUUAUACCCGAUCAAACAAAACCUGGAGAAGAAGUUGAGAUUCAGACCCUGCUCUCUUCUUUUGUUGAUGCCAUUUCUUGUUAAACAACUCCUUGGCCUUGCCAUCGUCUCGAGCGAGCUCGUCCUCGUCCGGCUUUUGCUUUACCUCCACACUGCAACAAGAGAGUAAAUAAAAAGAGGUACUAGAGAAACGAGAAAACAACCUUGUUUCUACAAGAGCUUGCCGCCGUUCUUUCGCUCGUUCUCGUAGAACGUUGCAAUAUUGAAACAAUGGACUUGUUCCAGCCUCCCUCUCAGCCUGUUCGUGAAAAGGCUUGAGAGAGAAAAGAAAACCACCAAGCGCAUGCACGUACCUUUAGAAAGGAUGCAACAGCUUCGCUAUCUUUUGGAGAGAACGAGACCCCUUCCCGCUUCUUUGUCACAAACUCUACAUUUCGUUCAAUCUGAAAUAACAAAGUUCAGUGCUGGAAAAAUUAAAACCGUGAAAGUUGUCUUGCCUGUUCAACGAGCUGCCUCGCUAGCCUUCUAAAACGGUCGACAUUCGUUUCUUUCACGAAUCGACGGAGUUGAGCGAGGGGAAUCAGAGCCAGCUCAGGAAACGCCACGGAGUAACACCACUGCGUCAAAUGCUCAGCAAGCUGCUCGAGCACCGUGUUCACGCAUUCUUCCUGAAAGGCCCUCGUCUUCACCACUGGUUUACCCACCUACAAAUCACCAGCAUGAGUCACUUGAAGAAACUAAAAAACACGCGUUUACCUUGAUCACGACAUGAAAAUCUACGCUGUCCCCAGCUCCUCCAGUUGGCGGCUUUUUCAUCUCUUUAAAAUCGAGCAUAUCCAGCAGCACGGGAGCAACUGGGAUGAACGUAUUCGUGGCCGCUGCCAAUCUGUUAAGCAUCACCGCGCACUGCAUUCGCAGAGGAAAGUAGCGAGCAGUAGGAACGAGACGAGAGACGCCCCCGAGAAUUUGAGCCAGUGGAUACGCUAGAGGCUGAAGAUUGUCCUUGCCAGUGUAAGCGCUCACUACUUUCACCCACAGUUCCAGCGAAGCCAUGUACUGCCAGCAGUAAACUUUCUUGAAGGAAUCCUGGAAAGUAAAUAUUCUAUCAGCGUCACCGUCUUGAAGACAAAGCAGAGAAAACACUUACCUUGGAUUUUACAGUGAGUGCGUUUCGGAGUAUAAUAGCCAGCUGCUUGAUAAAAGUAAAGGCGCAUUGGUACGAGACAGCAAUGUCGACGCCAUAGAGCUCCACUACACAAUUUGCCAGGAAUUGUAUCCGAGGAAGAGUUGUCGCGCUUACAAACUUUGCGCUAGAAACGAACUGCUUGUAGAUGGUCUUUGAGCAGGACUCGAGGCAAUCCGUGCCAAGUUGCAUGGCCAUGUCGCGGAUGCACGAGAAAGCUACGAAAGACAAGGAUUGUUCGCCGGUGCUCCAGAAAUGAAACGCAGCCUAGACAAGGAAAUGGCUGAGAGUUGAAGAACAUCUAGAAAAGUAUCUGCAUACCUUCAGAAACUUCCUUCCCAGAGCUGGAAACUCACCAAGAACAACGAUCGACGGCCUCAAACGUCUCAAGGUAAACGAGAUCAUCCGGUUGUCCGUCAUCUGGUUUAACACAUGUAGCGCGCUGGCCAGGUACGACUUGACAAACGGGAACAGCUUCUUCCAGCGGCCAAUUUUCUUGAGAUCCUCCGUAGCCACCUUUUUCUCUUGAUGAAUAUGCAGCAUUUUCUUGAAGAUCCCAUCGAGCUCAGAGAGAAUAAAGACCAUGACCUUGUUGAAAACGUUGCUGCUAUUGAUGACAAAUCGCUCCGAGAGCUCCUCCUCCGCCCCCUCCCCAUAGUGACAUGCGCUGCGAAAAGCACCAAGUAGCUUCCGCAGCGCGGCAUAGUUCUCCUUUUCCUUGACAGCUAUGAUCCAAGUUUCUACGUGAGCAAUCGUCAGGGAGUCUUCUUCCUUGUCACGAGACGUUGGCUUCUCAGCAUCGUCUUGUUCCUAUAAAGAAUAACUCGGAUAACAAAUCAAAAGAAACCAGGCAAGCCGUACCUCUUCUUCGUCUUCUUUGAACCCAAGAAGUUCUUGAUCAUGUUCCUCAAGGAACUUAUAAAACUCUGGAUCCUGCAUAGCAGAUUACAAUACAAUCGUUAAAGCGUCAGACUAGUUCUGAGCUACCUUCCCCUUGAGUUUCUCGAGAUCCAUUUUGUGCUUCUCAAUCUCGGAUUUGAACUUUUUGUUCUCGUUUUUAACUUCCGCGUUAUCCCCAUCAUCUGGAAGACCAAAGUUAGCUAGAUAAAUCUUAGACAAACAAAAAGAAUACCGCUUUCGGAAUCGUCUUCCACAUCAGGUGGAGUGAUGUCAAUAAAGUCUUCUUCCUCUCCAUCGACCUGAUCGGAUGACACCAUUUUAGUGCUGUUUUAGUUCGUGGUCUUACGGCUCACCUCUGGAAGAGGAGCGUCGGGAUCACUCGCGUCGUCAGAACCGACUCCAUUUUCAACAUCAUCAUCGCCAUCGUCAAGGAAAUCUCCAUCCAUGAGCUCAUCCACAUUCAUCUCCUCCAUUUUCCUACAAGAAAAUGGAAAUUUGUCAAUUUAUCAAUUUGUCUUCCGCAAUUGAGACGUACUUCUUCUUCUUCGUCGACGCAUCGGCAGCAUUUUCCGCGAGGGCCGCCUUGCGACGCUUGUCUUCUGCAACAAGGAUUAGAUGCACUCACUGCAAAACCGCGAUUUUUCUUCCAUACCCAGUGCCGCUUCUUUGUGGCGGAGCGCAUUUCGCAUGGGCUUGAGCUUCCGGCGCUUGGCGAUCACCGACUUGAGAUGCUUCUUCGUGAAUUUCUUGACGCUCUUGGGCGCUUUCUUCCCCAUUGCUCAGAUAUCCCAAAACCCUAGCAAGACCCCUAGUUUUAGGUAUAUUCUACAAUUUUGAGAAAAAGUUCACAAACAAACAAGAAAAGAAUAAGAUAUAUUCUCACCAUGUUAAUCUUCACAUAUGAAGACCAUAUGUAGUUGAGUGCUUCUGCUCGAGCACAUCUCCUGUUGAAACAAUGUGUUAGUGUCUGGUAGUAACUAGCGAGUGGCAUUUUAAGGUUUUCCUGAACCUUGCUGUCUCAUGCUUGGAAAUGCAAAAUAUAAACAAAACAAAAAAAAAAACCAAAUAAAUUGGCUCUUGAAACAUAUAAUGGAAAGCUCACCCAGUCGAAUCGCAGGAGAGCCCGGCCUGCAGCAAAUAUAUGAAAGCCAGAGUGUUAGAGUGUGCGUUUUUCUUGUCUCUGAUGUUCACACUCAAAGUUUAUCAAUACUCAAGCAUUAUUUUCUUGGUAUCAGGUUUUUUCUAGGGUUCCUCUGGUUGGUGGACAGCAUUUUGCGGCAUAACCGAUGAUGAGUAGGCGAAUCUAGGAAUAGUAAUCUCAUCAUGGCUGGAAUCCGAAAGACACUCAAUUUUCGAUGGGCUUACAAAUUUGUUGUGAUAGGGAAAGGCAUGUCCGUAAGAUUCAUCAGCAUAUUUCAAAUCUUUUCAAAGAGUACAGCUAAUCCUCUUGUGCACAAGCUUUCCAGGCAGGACAAAAAGGAAAUGGCCAAGCUUCCUUAUCAAAACCUGGUUGGGACAUUGAUGUAUUUGGCCAUGGCGAGCAGAGAUAUCGCGGUAGUGGUUUCCAGAGUACAUGUCAAUUCAUUUAGAACCAUGGCACUGGUAUGCAGUGGAGUGAAUCAUAAACUACAUAUGCCAAACUGCAUCCUUACAUCUUGUGUUCAAGCGGGUGGCCAAAGGAAAUAUUUGUUCAGGGGUGUUGGUACCAUAUUGGAUGGUGAAUGUAAUGCAGUUGUUUCCUGGCGCAGCCAAAAACAGAGAAUGGUUGCAUUAUCAACUUGUGAAGCUGAGUACAUUGUAGUGAUAGAAGUAGUCAAAGAGGCUCUAUGGAUCUGAUGUUAUUAGUUUUGGACUACAAGCACCAUUGAAUGUCUACAAUGACAAUAUGGCGUGCCUACAAUCUGCUGUGAAUCCAAUACACCACUAGAGGAACAAACACUUCGAAGUGUUCACUAUUUCAUCAAAGAGCAGAUUGAAAGAGAAGGUGUACAUUUCCAUAACAAACAUGACCACAGAUCUGCUUACAAAAACGACUUUUGAAGUCUGCCAACAACAGCUCAGACUAGUUUCACAAAGGGAGUAGCAAUAGGUCGCAGUGUUUAAACAAUAGCAGCAAAUCACAGUAUGUGAUUGAGGCACAAUCAAAAGAAACUUAUGUAUACAUCUCAAUUCUUAUUUUCCCAUCUUAGCUUUGAUGUCCACUGAAUGAAAAGGUGCUAAAGAGAGCAAUGACAGUCAGCUGGUCAUGUAAAAUGUGGCCUGGUAGCAGAAUGCAAAGGCCACCAUUUUCUAGUGGCAUCUUCAUCAUGUUUUCGCUGUUCAAGUAGUUAUGAACAAAGCCACAAAAACUUAGGCCUAAUUUAUAUUUAACCAAGCGCAACAAAUUUUUCAGGAUGGAAAAGAAAUAUGAAACAAAAUGGAAAUUGUCUUUCUUAAAGUUUCCUUGCUCGAGUAAUAGCUAUCUCCUUGGUCUAGGAAAGACAAUCGUGGUAAGCUGCCUCUCAACACUGCUACUGGAGAAAUUGUUAGAGGUAAAGGACGAUGCCAGGUUCAACAUGAAACUAUGGGAGGUUGGUCCUCCUCAAGUUGAAGAUUUCAAGAACAUGAUGGACAACGUAGUCAAGACGGACCUGCAUGUAUCACUGACUGGAGACGGGAAUGUCUGGAUCAAGCAGGUGUUGGCUCUGCGUUGCCUUCAUGCGGCAGUGACUGCGAUUUCUACACGAAGUUAUAGUAAUAUGCUCGCAUCUUUGGAACGCAGGGCCCCAGACUCUUGACGAUGUAAUAGUUUUCAUCAGGCGCGGGUUGGGAUUUGGUGAAGGUGAAAGGAUUUUCCUUUCGUGGUAUUUUGACGGGCGAACAAGGCGACGACGGGUGCAUCAUGGUUGCAGCAUAUGUUCUCGGAGGAUGUUUCCUGGUUCAAACACGACCAUGGUAGUGAGACUUCGUGCUGUUUACUGCAGCGACAACACGGCAUUCUGUAGCAUCACUCGCAGGGACAGGCACCGGACAUGCGCAGACGCUCCAUAUUCCUCUGCCACCUUUAACAAAUGACGACAUGAAUGAAGUGGCCCAGAUAUUCUUUGACAGGGUGGUGAAAAAACCAGGGGCCUCGUGUCACGCUUACAGAUGAGUGGAAGAAGGUGAUCUGCAUUGCGGGCGGUAACCGGAGAACGCUCUCAUUCCUUAUCAACUCUCUGGUGACAGAGCUCCCACGGCCUAUUAGUCUGCAUGAACUGGACAGGGAGCUGCAGGAGGGAUUGGAUAAAAGGAAAGUAAGGAGCAUGCUUGACAACCCUGUUUAGCAGUCAGUACUUACAGCAAAGGCAAAACGCGCUUGAUACUCCAGGCCAUACACUUCUCAACUAGGAGUUCCUGUGACACGAGGGGAGAAAGCGUGGGACAGUGAUGACACUUGGGGUGAUCUUGAAGGACAAGGCAUAGUUGGUUUGAUUCAAGUAGAGCGAGAUCGUCCACUAAGAAAAGCACACAAGGUGUCUGGACCUGUGACCCCAAAUUUGCUGCAGUUCCGUGUCAGGUUCCUGCCCCUGGUAGCUUACUGCGUGACACACUUAUCUGGCAGCGAAUUAAGGGAUCUAUGGCCGCCCUUGACUUCAUCAACAAGGAGGAUGCGGACGUGCUUGAAUUUGCAUUUAUGAUUCGGCUGAAAACGCUAUUGAAUAACGGUGAGCAUACUUUCCAUUUCGCAUCUCAUCCUUGUAUUUUGCAGGUGCACCUUUCACGCUAGGUGAUAUCGUACCACGCCACACAUGGUUGAGUGAUGACCUCCAUCACAUGCAGCUCCAGUUGCCUUCACCACCGAGUAAGUUCGACUUGGGGUUGGCCUGUACUUGGCUUACCAACUUCGUGAUCCUGCAGACAGUGUACAGUGGGACAUUGUUCAACCAGAAAAAGCACCAUGUUCGAAGCAAGAGUUUUUCGAUCUCGUGGCUUGUCAUCCAGGGUCUUUAAUCUAUAGACUGUCAAAGAACUCGUACACGGAUACAAUCAUGAAGCUUGAGAGGAGGAUAUUCAAAAGGGAUGGUGAGGUGGAGGCAAAAGUUAUUUUCAUGCACAUGGAAAGGAAGUACAGGUGCAAGAGCACUCUCCUUGAUUGGGGGCUUAGUGAGGAAAGAGGUGAUUCACAUUCAUUGGACAGAUCAUGUGGCAGAGCUGCUGGAGAACAUGCCAGGGAUUCCAAAAUAAAUUGUGAUUGGAGGUAAAUUUGGCAAGGAGAGCCUGGAGAGCUCAUUUGAGUUGUUUAAUUGUGUGAGGUCGUUGUUAUUGUUGACUCUAAAAAUAUUUCUGUUAUUGUACUGUGUUAUUUAUUUGAACACACAAGCCGACCUAUUAUUAUUAGACUUAUUGUAAAGCAAGAAGCAUGAAUUAAUAUGUAUGACAUUGGGAGCAUCUAAGUGCUAGGUGACAUCAAUUUAUUACAUUCUAUACUCAGGCUGGAAUGAGAUUCUUGAAAGGAGUCUGCAUUUUGGUGGCAGUGUCACAAGAAUCAAGUGGGGAGUCAAAGUGACUAUCAAAUGAGAGUGGAUUUGAAGUGAACAUUGAUUUACUCUAAAUUCAUUCCAUAAUGUCAGCAGGAUUUAGGGCUUUAAUGUUUAACUCUACACCAUGCGCUUUUAAAUUUGAAAUGACGUUAGUGGAGAGCUACAUGCAGAUGAUAAGUUUUGAGGGUUAUAAAGUUGCAUUAACUCACAUUUGUUCUGAGAGAGUGAUUUGGAGGCUGGUCUUAAACCGAUGAGGGAUGAGGCUCUACUUAUGCUAUGGAAGCCACCCAAACGACUUGGGAUGUUUGAGAAGAUUUCAGUGAUAUUAGUUUGAUGCUUGAGGCUGAGUCUCCCUUCUGCAUGGAGCGACAGUGCCAUAUCCAAGAAGCUCAGGUAGUAACAACUUGUAACAUGUUGAUGAAAUCCUCGUUGGGCAGUGAUCCACUGCAGAGAGUUCCAAACUAUCCAGAAGAACUGGAAACCUUGCAGCUCCAGCAAUUGAAAGAUGAGGAGAAGAUGCUGUUGCAGUGCCGAUAUGGGCUGGAAGUGUUUCGGCAUUUCCCCCCUCCCAAACUUAUGAGAUCCUAUGUUUAAAAACAUUAACAAUAAAGUACCCUACCUUUGCCUUCCUCACUCAGAUACGAAGACAUGAACUAACAAAUGUGUAAAUGUCGGUUAAACAAACAAACUUUUUUAAUUUGCUUAUGCGCAUGAAGCGACAUACAUCUGCUUGUUCAUAACCAGUGUAUAUUAUUAAAUCAAGAAAAUAAGUAAAUAAGCAUGAGAAAACAAAAAAAAACCUUGAUUCGCUUGUAGAACGUGGUUUACAAGUCCAGCGAGCUCUUAGGGCUCUCGGGUGAGCGAGUUUUGAAACCUGUGGAAAGAAAUAAAGGAAAAAAGUUGACAGUCUUCCAAGUGAAGAAAGCCUUCCAUCCAGGAGUACAGCAUUGGAUAUCUGGUGAUAUCUCAUUGGAUCUCAUUAAGAGCUCGACUCGAAAUCUCUUGGUUGUAGUUGGAGAUGAGAUCUACUUGAAUAUGACCAAGAGAAAAGAAAACCUUCGGUGGUUCCAGAGCUCCUAAAACUGCAAGUCUUGCAAGCGAAGCAAUUCUCUCUAACUCCAUUGAAUGAGGACACUUCCACUACUGCGUGCCAAGCUUGAUUCAUCACCUUCCAGAACGAAUCAUGACUUCAGGAAAGAAACCAAGAAAAAGAUAAUCUGCUGCAUAGUUUUAUUUAUUGUGAAUAUUAAUUAUUUUUACUUUUCUUACACACAUGUUUAUUAUUUAAAAAUAUAGGAUUAAUCUGAUUAGUUAGAAAAAUAAUAAUUUAUAAACAUUUUUUAAGCAAAAAACAAAAAUAGCAACACUUGGUUUGCUUAAUAGUAGUGUUAUACUUAUUAAUUCAAUUGAUCAAAUAAAGUUUAUGAUUAUAAGCAUGUUUGUAAUUUACAAAACACAAGAUUAAUCUUAUUGCAUAUCAACCAUUAGAUAAUAGAAAAAAGAAUAUACUACAAAGGGUUUAAGAAAAUUUAUAAAUAACCGGAGAGCGAACAACGACGGACUCAUAAGAGCCAGGUUUGGCAGAGCUUGCAGUAGGCACGAAAAUUUCCAUCCAAACUGACUCCUACCUCAGUGCUGUGUCCGUUCAGAUUGAAAAUGAAAUCAUCGGCUUGCCACUGAAUCGCAGCAAAAAGCUUAUAAUCUAUACAAAACUUCAUCAUCAAUUCAAAUACUAGCAAACUUACAAUUUCGUAAGAGUUCCAUUUGGUCCAGGUAACGUAGUGCAGGUAAUGUAAUGUAAUGAGUAAUUGUAUGACUACUCCUGAUGACGAAAACUGCCAUUAGAAGCUGACAGAAAAUCAAACAUUUCAUAUCUCAAUUUGGCGGGGACAUAGAAUCAUUCGAACCGGUCAAGUCAACUGCGCGUAGGUAGUCAAGGAGACUUUGGCCAGAUGGAUAUCCUGCUGCAUCCUCUACGUGAGGCUUUCGACUUGCCUGUGAGGAAAACUGAAAUGCAUCGAGUCCAGAAAAUGCAAUCAUGUCGUGCAUUUGGUUCAAACAAAACGGCACCACCAGCUCAAGCUUGAAGUUCGUUAAGCGACAUCUGCGUAGACCUAUAAAGAAUUUGAAAAACCAGCACUAGAUUUACUGCAAAACUAAUAGGCAUACCCAAUGAGGUCAUGCCAACCAUUUCCCUUGUAACUGAAGCAGUCACUGACCAAAGGCCGAUCCUGGAAAAUUCAGCUGUUUUUGGUUUACCUUAGUUGUUGUAAUGUUUGUGAAACAAUAAGCAAGCAAAACAUCAACUUACACUCUUGGAAAAGAAGUCUUUGUUAUCUAGAUCACAAGUCUGCAUCUCUUCUAAGUUUAUGGAGGGUGUUAACCAUGCUAUGCUCUUCACUCCCGUUUUGAUUGUUCCCCCAUCGGCCUUUUGCUGAUUGUCCAGGUAGAGCAAGAAACAUACUUUAAUUCAACGUGAUCUACAUCACAUUUCUCUAUUCGUAAAACUUUGAUAAAUAGCCCUACGUAAAGCUUAAAACGAGUGGGGUUUUGCUAGGGCUUGAAGAAAUGGGCGACAUGAUGCCGCCUCCGCCUGCUGUGUUUCGUCCUCCGCCGCCCCCAAUCGCUGCGCUGCACCCGCCAGCUCCGCCGGAUGUCGACGACAAGAAGAAGAUCGUCGCUCCAGCUCGGCCCUACGACAUUCCCGAGUGGAGCCACGCACCGGGUAAACCCUACUUUCUCGAGGUGCUCAAGGAUGGAUCAAUUCUGGAGGAGCUUCCAGUGUGAGUUUCUCGUCAUUGCUUGUGUCGAACUAUUCUCAUGGAUGUUCUUACAGCUCGGAGAAGGGCGCUUACAUGUUUGGGAGGCACGAGAACUGUGAUUUUGCGCUGGAUCAUCCCAGCAUUUCUCGGCACCAUGCUGGUGAGUGAGUUUUCUGUGUUUCUUCUCAUCUUCUACUUCAUUUUUCUGGUAUCAGUUCUUCAGUACAACAGCAAUGGGGAUGCGUUCAUCUUCGACUUGAGCAGCACUCAUGGCACUUUCGUCAACAAGCUAAAGGUUGGAAUUUUUUUUCCAUUUCUUGAGAUGUCGAGAGAUACGAGUCUCUUUUGUUCAGGUAAAAGCUAAAGUUCACGUUCCUGUACACGUUGGAAGUAUCUUUCGCUUCGGUCUGUAAGUUUCAUGCUAGUUCUCAGUCUAGUAUCGAUUAACCGGUGCCUAUCCUUUUGUAGCUCUACUCGAAUGUACCUCUUUCAAGGCCCAGAAGAACUUAUGCCUCAGGUAUGUUUUGAGCUGUGGCGAGAAAAAUCGAACUGAGUGACUUGCUGCUAGGAAGGGUUGUCACGGAAAGACCGGCAGAUAAUGAGGCAGCUUGAAGCUCAGCAGUCGAAAGAGGAGGAAGAGGCCUCUCUUUUAAGAGCACGAGCUGAUGCUGCAGCCGAGCAAGGGGCAUCGUGGGGAAUGGGAGAAGACGCUGUUGAUGAAGAAGCUGUGGUAAGUACUUCAGCGUUCUCAUGUGAUCGUUUAUCUGGUAUUUUGUUUUUAUACUUGGCAGGAAGACGAUUUGACAUGGCAAUCGUACAAGGGGCAGUUGACGGAAAAGCAACAGAAAACCAUGGAACAAAUCCAAAAACGCAACGAUAAGGUCUGUUUCCUUGUUCAUCAAGACGAUCCAAAUGACUACUUCUUCGGCAAUACAGCUUACGAACCUGAAAAAGGAAAUUGAUGCAAUCCAAGCUAAAGAAGCUGCACAGGGAGGCCUCACUCAAGGACAGCAAACACAAGUAACCCGAAAUGAAAAGAGGAUUGAAGAGGUAUUUAUUUUCUACGUAUUCUGGCUUUGUAAUGAUCGUUUUCUUUUUUGGUCAGCUCCUGGAGCAGCUUGAAAAUCUUGAGGAAACUCUAAACGACAGCAUAAAGGAGAGUGUCUUCGGAAUAACAGGCGUUAAACGGAAAACUAAAAACUUUGAGGGGGAGGAAGAAGAUGAUUUAAGGUAAGCCUUGGUCAGUGUUCUCCUCGUUACUUAUUCGUCCGUCUUCUGCCAGCGACGACGACUUUUAUGACCGGACGAAAAAGAAACAUAAGAAGGACACGGAGGCUCAGAGCGCAGCCUCUCUUCUGGAAAAGCUUGAUCAGCUAGCGAAAGAGAUGGAGGAAGUGCGCUUAAAACUCAUUGGAGAAGGAAAGAAACCUAUGCCUUCCAGUCAUGAGGAAGGUUCUGACGACCCCUUGGAUGCUUAUAUGAGUAACGUUUCUACUGAAUUAGGUGAGUUUUCAGUCUUAUGCUGAAGUACUUCGAUUCUUAACUAGGGCCUUCUUUGCGCAGUUGAAGAUGGUGCCACACGGUUGAGAACGGAGCUGGACAGGCUUCAGGCUGAAACAGAUAAAGUGUCUACGCUCUUGAAAGUUGCAGAUCCCACCGGGGAAAUCACCAAAAAAUGGAAAACCAAAGGUGACGAAAGCUCCCAGCCUUCUGAAGUGCCACCUGAAAAGAGCGGCACUACUUUGGACGCUAACAAACCCGACCAAGAAGCUGGCGUAAUCUCCGACAGCGUUAUUUGGAUCGGCGCUCCCCGGCCUCAGGAGCCAGCCGAAGAGCCCGCAUCUGAACGCGCGGAAGCUGCCGAAGAGGACGCUGCUGCGGAGGACAAGUUUGUGCCUUACAAAGAAUGGAAGGAGAGUUUGCAACGGCAUAAUCCAACAUCAUUGCUGCCAGGCGGGCGUGAAGAUGCUGAGAAAGUCUCGGAGGACGCUGUGGCCAACGACAUCGCGCUGCUGCUAAGACACAAGAAGGGAUUGACGAGCAGCCCCGAAGCGACCGAGCGCGAGGAGGAAACAGCUGCAGAAGCUCCUCCAACAAAGACGAAGAGUAAAAAGAAGAAAGCCAAGGAGAAGCGGACGCUGGGUCCUGAGCGUCCAAAGUUCAUGGCCGAUGAAGAGACGGAAUUUGAGUCGUGGGUCCCUCCUGUCGGUAAGUUCUGGCUUUGUUUGUAUGAUUUCUCUCAAGACUUGUUCGUUUCUCUUGUUUUCUAUCCAGGACAAACGGGCGAUGGUAGAACAUCGCUGAACGAGAAAUAUGGCUACUAGCUAGGUGAACUUGCUGAGAAUUCUCUGUACAGUGAUACUGACAAGGUUUUUUAAAUGCUUUCCUGAGGAAGAAACUUGAGUUCUUUCUAGGGUUCUACCAGUGCUCAUGGUCAGUGCAAUGGGUUCCUUAAUCGUUGGUGGUGGCGGCCUGAUGUUUGGAGGGAGGCAGUAUCACCAUAGAAUGCCGGCAGUGGGUUCGCCAGCUUUUCCGUCAGUAACAGCUAUUGGUGUGAAGAGCAAGGGGUUGAAGUUCGGAAGUUUUGGGAUUUGUCGAGCUGUUCGUGAUCCAGAAGAAGCUCCAGAGCUAAGAAACUCCAAAAAGAACGAAGCUGCGGACGAGAACAAGGAUCCUGGGAUUGACAGGCGCGAGCUGUUUCUCUCGAUUCUCGACGAUGUCAAGAUCAUUGGUGUGGUUCUCGCCGCUUCGAUAUUUUUCCGGUGGUACGUUGCAGACCCGAGCAUCAUUCCGUCCGAGUCUAUGUCUCCAACGUUGCAGCCUGGAGAUAUUGUGCUCGUUGAAAAGGUAAAGCUUUCUCUUUUGAUAGUUCUUUCUUAUUCAUGCGCAUGGCUCUCUUUUUCCCAGUUUUCAUAUCGAUUCAACUCUCCUGACAUCAAUGAUAUUGUCACGUUUGAUGGUCCUGCGUCACUGAUGGUGAGCGAAUGGAUUUUUUUCCUGGCUUGAGAACUGAAAUUAACUUCUUAUAUCGUCAGCGAGGUGCUGGAGAUUUAUUCAUCAAGCGAAUCGUUGCCAAAGCGGGCGACACUGUUGAAGUAAGCUAUGCAAAGUUCAAUGGCUCCGUUUCUAAAACGUCUGCAGGUGUCCGACGGAAAACUCAUUGUCAAUGGAAUUACGAAAGAAGAACCUUUCGUCUCGGAAGCCGCAAUUUAUGACAUGCCUUCGGUGGUACGCAUCUCGGAUUGUUUCUCUCUUUUUUGAGUCUGAGAAUUUCGCAUUUCCUUGUAGCUUGUACCUGAUGGUCACGUCUUCGUUAUGGGAGACAACAGGAACAACAGCUAUGAUUCGCACAUAUGGUAAAAGCAAAGUGGAACCCGUCAUUAGCUAUCGGUUUUGCUGAUCAUCGUUCCCUGUUCUUUCUAGGGGCCCUCUUCCUGUGUCGAGCAUCCGGGGCCGCUCCGUCUUGAGGUACUGGCCUUUAACAAGGCUCGGCAGCACACUUGGUUGGAUUCGUCAAUCAACGCGAGGAGUUUUGACUUCCACUUUCUAAAGGUUGGUGGUGGUGGUAGCUAGGUAGUUGCUUUCGUCCAUCCCCGCGUGGGCUUUCCUCCCAAGAGAGAAAACUUUGCAAGAGAUUUUGACGAUUCACUAUCCUUUUCUCUUCUGUUCUUCCAGACUGAACGUCUUGGUCGAUGCCAUAUGCGUGACAACCGAAAAGCACCGAAAAGCCGAGCUAGUGGAAGACGAAGUGGACAUCGAAGAAUAGCUACAGGAACACGAGUUUAUUGCCAAGCGAAAACGAAACUGACCGAAGCAACAGCAACUAACAAGCGAGCCGACGAUGAAUCAGUCCAGCAAUGGCAAGAACACCAAAGAACGACGAGAAACUCAGCGACGACGAAGCAGCGGAGGAGCCAGACGGCGAAGAGCCACCGGGGGAGGACGAAGAGCCGCCGGGUGAUGUCGAGGAGCCACUCCUGAUCUCGUCCGAGUGCUGGAAAGUUACGUUGAAGUGGAGGACUGCCGAGAAGUUGACGCUGGAGGUAGUGGUGAUAACAGCGAAGCCUUGAGCAAACCUGUAGAUGCCGGUGCCUCCGACGAUGGCGAUCUCGCGAGUUGGGUCCGUUAUCUUGUCCGAUCCAUGGAAGCUCAGAGUACCAUUCCGGUCAGAGAAGACGGCGGUGAAAGUGAGAAGAAUGGUGGAGGCGUCGAGGGAGGUGACCAAGUAAGUUCCUUGAGCUCGGCCCAAGGAUGUGGAAGUCGGGGAGGGGCCGAGAGUGAGGGCGUCGUCGAUGAUGAUGACGGUGCCAAAGGCGAAGGUUGUGGUGCUGCCGUUUGCUCCGGCUACUGGGAUUCCAGAGGGGUUGGAGACGAAGACGUUAUCGUGCAUAUAGAACUCGAAGCUCGUCUGCUGCUCGCUCUGGCACCUGGAGCUGGGAAUUAUCCAGGCGAGAGCUGCCAGCGCUAGCGCGAGGAAGUGGUACUUCAUCGGAGAUCCGGAGAGGAGAAAUAAGCGUUGGAGCAGCAGAGAACUUACAGAGCGAAUCGGAAGAGACCAAGUUAUCUCUACCAGAGACGAAAGAUCUCGAGCAAUGUUCUCGGAAGAAAUUCUAGAGAGGAAAGAUCUGUGAGAACUUUGAAGACAAUCUAUCUGCACUUGAAUUGCUCUUUUCUUACGUUCUUAUUAGGUGGACUCCACAAGACCUUAGGUAGUGCGUUGCGAGGAGUAAGUCUAGGCGCAAGAGGUGCCCGGUUCGAGUCCCUUGAGAAAGAGGAUAUUUUCUUGACGAGAAUAUCCACCUUUCCCACUUCACUUUAAUCGCCAGGGCGUUCUAGGGUUCUUCGCGCGGUGAUGAAAUUCGGUAAGCGAUUGCAGCAGCAGAUCGAGGAGACGCUGCCGGAAUGGCAGGACAAAUUCCUCUCGUACAAGCAGCUCAAGAAGCGCCUCAAGCUCAUCGCGGCCGAGUGCUUCACCGAUCACCCGUUUGGCGGCCACCAGGAGCAGCAGCAGCGGCGGCGGCCAGCGAAUUCCAGCAACGAGAGCAGCGGCAGCGUCACUGGGCCGGCUGCCAGUAAUGCGGAUCGUCAAUUCCAGGAGAAUGAAGAGGGGCGGGGGCUCACGAGCCAGGAGGUGGAAUUCAUCCGGCUGCUCAAUCUGGAGCUCGAGAAGUUCAACGCGUUCUUCAUCGAUAAGGAGGAGGAAUACGUUAUUCGCUUGCAGGUAUUUCUUUUCUUUUGCUCGAUUGAUCGAUCGACAAAGACUUUAGUGGAGGAUAAGUGCUGAUGUCGUGCUUCCUUUUUUUCUUUCCUUCUUGUUUAAUUCUUUUCCAGGAACUCAAGGAGAGGAUCGAACGGGCGAGAGUGGAAAACGCCGAAAGCUCUUUGUCAGGUGGUCCCUAUUUUGACGAGGAGAUGCUUAAUAUCUGGAAGGACUUAGUCACCUUUCACGGGGAGAUGGUGCUUCUCGAGAACUAUAGCUCGCUCAAUUACACAGGUACACGCAAGCUUGAAAUCUUUGCUCUUGGCUUCUUCUAUGAUCUAAGCAACCGCUUUUCUUCUUUUUUCUUCCAUUCCAUUUGGAACAGGCCUGGUGAAAAUCCUAAAGAAGCACGACAAGACAACAGGAGCUCUCUUGAGGCUUCCAUUCAUUCGCAAGGUCCUGCACCAGCCGUUUUACAAGACGGAGCUCCUCUCCAAGCUCGUCCGGGAGUGCGAGAGCAAUCUCCAGUCCAUCUUCCCGGCUGCGAUGCUGGGCGAGACGGUGAUCGAUGGGCCAGUGUCCAUGGAUCCGGCUAAAGUGAGAGACACGUCACAAGCUGGAGUAUCAUCGUCGGUGGCAGCAGUGGGAUCAUCUUCAUCAGCAGCAGCGAAGGAGGAAGAAGUGGAAGAACAAAAAAAAGAGCUCGAGGGCGAGGGAGGAGGCGAUGGAGAGAAAGCAGAGUGCUCGUCCCCAAAGCAGGAGGAUGGGAAUAUGGAAGGGAUUUACAGGAGCACAGUGGCAGCGCUCCACACUAUCCAGGAGCUUCGCAAAGGCAGCUCCACUUACAGCCCACUCUCACUGCCGCUCUUCAAUCGCGAGGAGAAUCUGGGCGUCGUGGUGGACGAGUCCACUGUGUCGUGCUAGCGGCGAGCUCUUGAUCGAAUACAAAACUCGCUGGCGCUUGUACCCUGGUUUUCAUAUUUUCUGGCGCGUCAAAUCUGGACCGGUGGUGUUUUUAGGGUUCUUGGAGAGCUGACAAGCGAAUCAAAGUUAACCUUUUUUAAAACCCUGUGGAGAACAUGGGCUCAAGUAAGUUAAAUAUCUCUUCUUUUUUCUUCCUAUUGUUACCAGGCUUCUGGAAGACGAGGCCGAGCGCCUGUGUCAAAUCGAGAACCAGCUACACCACUUACAGGUAUGAAGAUUCAACUUCCAUUUCAGUCCGUCCUUCGUGUUCUUUGUUUCUUUCAUUCCCCAGGUAGAGGAGAGCAUUUACACAGGCCAUGAAGCAACUGGAGACGACCAACACAACGAGUGAGUGGCGGACGAGGUACCUAGCAGUGAAAUCGUUCCUCUUUCCUGAUAACUUUGCGUUUUCUUCUGUGAAUUCCCGAGUAGGAUGACCAUGAACUUUGCGGAGGAGCUUGAUCGCGAGCUCGCCGAGGCUCUCAAAGGCCACACUCCAGGCAGCUGAUCUCUUGAGAAAGGACGACACUGGCACUGCAGCACCCGAGGAAGCGUCCCAAGACAGUGAGUAGAAGAUAAAGUUUGCGACGAUCGGGGGGUGUUUAGCAAGGAUGCCUUUGUGUCAUUCCCAACUUCACUGAUAACCUGGACAAUAACAGCGCGUGGUUAUAGUAAGGGUGUCGCUACUCUCGUCUGAAGGUGGGGAUCUUUGCCAUAAUCGGCAUCUCUGUCACCCAGGACCUCAAAUCCUCCUGGCGGAAAUAGUUACUGUUUUCUCGUACUCAGGCACCCAGUCCAUCCCAUAAGACAUCCCAAUCUCUGUAAGCAAGCACGCGUACCCUUAUCAGUGCCAUCUUCACCAAUAAUGACAUUCAUGGCCGAUAUUACUUGUGCAACGGGAGUUGUCUUACUAUCCCGUGGAAGAACCAAAGACUUUGUAUACGUACCCAAGAUCAACCUCGCAGACUCCCAAUCUUGCCAAUGUGUGUGCCUCAUCAAGGUACACUCCAACAGUUUUAGAAGACAUCCAGAGAGAAAAAUACCUUGUAGGCUUUGCAGACUUGCACUAUCUCUUUUAAUCUGCAAAUUUCACCCUCCAUGCUGUAAAUAUCUUCGAUGACAACAAUUAUCUUUUUCCAAGGCCGAUGUAGAACUGAGGGAAUAUUCCAUUUGCCGCCACGUCAGUAUUAGGGUCACGACCAUUGGGGACACUUAAGGGGAAAAAACAGGGGAUCAUUGGUAUGUGAGGAAGUGAAGAAGAGAAUAAAGGAAAAAGGAUGCCUCGACGAAGAGGUCUUCGGCGAAGUGCCCUUGAUUGUGUGAACGAGCGACUUCGGAUACGACGAGNNNNNNNNNNNNNNNNNNNNNNNNNNNNNNNNNNNNNNNNNNNNNNNNNNNNNNNNNNNNNNNNNNNNNNNNNNNNNNNNNNNNNNNNNNNNNNNNNNNNAAACCAUUGCAUCUGAUUUGCCAAUGAAUCGAGGCCUUCAGCUCUACAUGGAGUGGAUGUAGUUCUUGCAAAACAAAUAUGAACAAAAUAGCAAUAAAAUUUUAAAUUGAGUUAAAAUCGUCAUAUGUUAAGUGCAAAACUAGAUUUUAAAUAGAAGAAGGUCACAAGAAGAAGGGAGAUAAGUACUCAGCAGUAUUUAUGGGUUGGUGGUAGAUGGUAGAAAAUGAAUAUUUGUUGGUACACUCCUUCCACACCCUUCAGCAACUCUGAUAAAACCAUAGUGUAUCAGUAAUAGUAGGAAAAAAAAACAGGGGGGGGGGGACCAAAACCACUAUUGCUGAUUUGUCUAUUUGCAAAAAUAAUCAAAGUAAAAUUUGGGUAAGAUCCAAUGAUCUUAAAGGGAAAAAAAAUGACUAUAACAAAGACAGGAAUAAAUCUCACUCUGAAACAUUCUUGUUCUGAUGAGGCUUGCUUUUGGAGAGAACAACAUGGAGUUUAGAGAUGACAGAAAAAUUACUUUCUUCAUUUGCCAUUAUAGAUCCCUUGGAAUGAUAUGUUUUUGCGGUCUUCAGCUUUCGUCAGUGGCUGGACCCGCAUCGUUUCUUGGACAGCAGACUCCACGUCUCUCGGACCUCUGGUAUUCAGCCAAAGCUUGGAAACGGGAAUGUCACUGACGAAAACCCGAGCACUAGAGCCUGGACAUGGCAUCAGCAAAACGCAAGAGAGACAAACCCUAGUCAGAAAUCUCGCUACAAUACAAGCUUGCAGUGAUUUUCUGACAAGCUCAAUGACUCAAAAAACAAAAGAGAUCUCAAAUCAUGGCUUUACUAAAACAAGAGUUGAUAGCAAAGUUUACAAAAAAAGUGCCACCUGCACAAAAAAAAAUAAAAUGAAAAAUAGCAAACAAAGAAAAGCAGAUUAGAAUGCUUACCCUGCUUUUUCUGUGCAAGGAGGUCAUGAUAGAAAAUGGUGGUUUAGCCAUUAGCCAGUAACUUUUGGAGACUUGUUAGAAUCUCUCUUUGCACAGCUUUUAUGCAGGAGAGGUCCUUCUUCAGCUUAACCACUCGUUUAUGAAGAUUCAUAUUUUUUGCCUGCAAAUCCAUAUUUUUUACUUCAAAGAGGUCAAUUUUUGCUUGAAGGAUAUUGACUUGCUCCUGUAGCCUCUUAUUGUUGGCUUUCAGCCGGAUAUUUUCAAGCACUUGUCCCUGCCAUUUCUUUCUCCCCUUGUCAAUCUGACAACUCAGUCUCACCUAUGUGCUUUGUUGAGUUGCAAUUACUUUAUAAAAUAAAAUCCAUGAGAAAAACUGUUUAGAAAAAACACAAAAGAGAAGAAAUACCUUUCCAAGUUUUCUUUUUGGUCUGCUAAUUCCACUGCAAUAUACUCUAUUGCUGUAGCAUGCUGAGUUGUUGCGUCAUGGAAGCAAUCCUUCCUUAAGAAAAUUUCCCUGAGCAUAACAAAGAUUUCUGAGAAAAAUUUCUGAAACAAUAAAGAAUCCUUACUUGUUUUCUUUAUCCUCAGGGAGGAUGUGAAGAGACUCCUCCCCAGAAUAAACAUUAAACACCGUCCCUCCAACUAGCUUGAUGUCUUGCUCGCUCUGUAGCAUCUCCUCAAGGGAGUGUUGCUCCACCGCAUGAUAUGUGCUCUGGUAAACUCCGACCAUCGCUAUCGCCACAAAUCACCACAAACCAAGAACCCUAAAUAUCAAAAAGGGAAAUACCCUUAAAGGGCUACCAAGAGAUUAGCUGCCAAGAUAAAGUAGCAACAAGAAUAAAGAGCUCCUUAACUACAUGAUGUUCUGGAGGUGGUGUCUUGCUUCUAAAGACUUGGGUGUUUCCCAAUUGCUAUUUCUCAUCACUUGCCCAAGCCUGUAGAGUUUGAGCAAGGAGAGCCAAACCAAGUAGUGUCGUUGCAGGGAGCUUUCUUCCCCACCAGACCUUGAUGAGGAAGCUUAGGGUGAGUACCAAUCAUCUCCACGACCAGCCCCUCCUCCACCCAUCUCAGUUUCUACUCCUGGCAGAUCAGGAGGUGGACCACCACCACCCCACCACCACUGCCGAUUCCUCCUCUGUCAGGAAGGCAUUUUACAUGCAUGAGGUAUCCUUCUUUUUCACCCAUCAUGGGCCAUGAUGUGGAUGCACAUCUCAAUUCCUUUGAGACUGUUGGCAUUGCCAACCAAGAAGCUGAUGAAACCAAUUGUCUUCAUUCCCUGCUACACUCCAAGAUGCUGCUCUUCUCCAAGCACAACAUUCUGCCCCCACCAGUAUCAUGACUUAGGAUCUGCUUCACUCAGCUUUUCUUGCUGCUUUCCAACUUGUGGGAUUCACACAGCAAGUUAGUGGGGAACUUAACUACAUUCGAUUGCUACCAAAUGAAAGCUUACAAAGUUUCAUCAUCUGGUUUUAGUGACUAGUCACUAAAAAGCACCCUCCUCCCAGUGAAGAGGAUCAGGUUCGCUUCUUCACAAAUGGCCUGCCUCCUGAAUUGGCUUUCUUAAAGAAGAGCUAGACUCCCACAACACUCACUAAGGCUAUUUCCACAGCUUCCAGUUGGGAGCAAGCUGGCCUGAGCAUGGCUUGCUUCCAGCAGCCUUUCUACUCCAUUCGUUUAGUGCUUGGCAGUCCUCUAGUGAUCCCACCAAUCUUUCCAUCCCUACAAACAUUAGCAAUGUCACAAGCAUAUCCUUUACUCACUGAUCUAAUGAGCUUACUUGGGCAUUUGCUGGGAUAAUGUCCAUAUCCCUUGCAAUGAGUACACCACGGUCAGUAGCAUGCUGAGGUGGUGUUUCGACUCAUCGAAUCUAGUUAAACUAAACUUUGGACAUUUUCUUGGCAAGUGUUUCCAAGUCAUCACAUACUUUAGAGAUAUUUUGCAAUUGUGGCAGAGUUGAAGAGGAAGUCACUACGGCAGGAAGUACAUGCUACUGGAGGUAGUUGUAAUCAACAAUUCCAGGUACCAGCUAUAUCCUUCAUUUAUUAAUCCUAGAACCAUCAAUUACAGCAGCAUGUACUUCUUACCAUGGUGACUUCCUCUUCAACUCUACCAUAGUUGCAAGAAAUCUCCAAAGUAUGUGAUGACUUGGAAAUACUUGCUAAGAAAAUGUCCAAACUUUAACUUAACUAGAUUUGAGGAGUCCAGACAUUACCUCAACCUAUUACUGACCGUGAGAACAUCUGGUGAACUUGUUGUAAGGGAUAUGGACAUUAUCCCAGCGAAUGCCCAAGUCCUGCACCAGCUCAAGUUAAGUGCCAGCACUGCAGACAAAACAAUCACAUAUCAGAGCACUGCAUAUAUAAACCUGGUACCUCAUCUCAGCCAGCUUCUUGCAUGCCUACUGGUCCCAGCUACCAUGUCUAGCCCCAACUCCUUCAAGAUCCAUCACCACCCCUGGUUCUACAAGGUUAUUCGCCAGAUCUAGUACCCAUUUAUGCAAAUGUCCAAUCAUCUGCUUUCGUUGCCAACAGCCUGGCCUCAUUGCUCUUGAGUGUCCGAAUGCACAAGCACCAGUCAAGUACCAGCCCAUCUGCAGCAUCUGUAACAUGUAAGGCCUCCAUACCCAAGACAACUACCCUCACGAUCUUCAUUGCGAUCCAGGCAGCCAAAGUGAUCCUCCAUGGCAUUCCCUUGCUCCAAGAAAUAGUCCAAUGAUUGACACACAAACACUAGUUGUCCAGCUCUGCUAUGGCAAUUCCUGCCCUGGCCAUGGCCCAUGCAGCUGAGCAACAGUGCCCAAUUCUUCUCUAUGGCACUUAUAUGCCAAACACGGCAUCCAGCUCCAACACCACAGCCCACCCAUGACCAGGAAUUCCAGGUUCCAAGCACUUACCCUAAAACAGCUAGAUGCAGUUUGAAACACAUGCCAUCACGAUGCCCACCCUCAACGCCACUGCCCUGUUUUGAGGCAAUCCCUGCAUCAGCAGUAAGCACUCAAGCCAUUUUGGCCACUUGCAUUUCUCUCCAUUCCUCCCUACACAUUCUCUAGCACUAAGUUCCUCCUGCUUUGCCAUCCACAUUGGUGGCCACUUCUGUGAGCCCUAAAGUGGCAGGAGCCACCUUUCCUUGGGACUUGAGGCAUUGUCCUUGUUAUCACUUCCUGCUGUAAGUACUCCUCUAGCUUCUUCAGAGCAGGAUGACUUGCCUUUACCCUUCCACAAUGCAGCUUUGGACAGCAAGCCAUUUUCCAGCAUGCUUAAUCCAAUUGCACGAGAGGGUGAUAACUGGGAUUUAGAAGUAGUGAAGAAAGCCUUAAUUGAAAAUGCUCUUCAACACUUUAAAAUAAAGUUGCUUUCUGCCAACCAUGGGAAAGUAAAACAGGAUAGGUCUCUUGAAGAGACACUAAGAAAGUAAUUUUCAUCUUCUCUCAUGGCCUAUCAUCCAGCUCAACAAGCUGAUGCAAUCAAAUAUGCUCCUCUUUUGAACUUUAAAAAAUUUGCUUCUCAAGAGCAAGAGUUUCUUUGUGAGAGCCAACCAAUGCAAAGGCCAAGCAUUCUUGCAUCUCCAGCUUUCAACACUUUGUUUUAGCUUUGAAAUUUCCAAAAGUAAAUUAUUGAUAAUUAGCUAAACAAGUCGCCACCAGUUCCCCGAGUGUGGACAAUUAUGUAAAUCCCCUAGAAUAUUCUUCACAGCUGCCACGUGGUGGAUGGUCAAAGUCAAGAGUAAUUUGCAAACCCUGAGAGACUAUAAGAUGGAUUAACAAUAGGAAUAAAGAGCAUAUAAUGUUCUGGAGGGAGUGAGACUUAGUGUUUCACUUCUAAUGAUUUGGGUGUUUCUUAGUUGUCAUCCAGGCAGUGUACCUCCAUACCUUUCAAUAUCGUGCCACAUGAACCUUGAUGAGUUUGCCUUCUUCAACCAUCCUUGCCAAGGAGUGCAGUUAGAUUGAUCAAAUUGGAGCUUUUGACAUGAAUUCCUGUCCUCAAUCUGUAUUUGUGGAAACGAAAUGCUUUAACUCCAAACAGGAUACCUCUCUUGCAGCUGUUCCAACCUGCGAUGUCAUCUAGCAUUCCUGCUGGCAGUUCCAGGAUUACACGAUAGCCCGAUCCCGAGAUUUUUUUUACCAUGAGUUGGACAGAGGUUGAGAAAAUUCUCCUCGGAUCACGCUAAUCAAGGCUGGGCCACAGCGCCAUCAACGCUGGAUGGCCGCAAAGAAUUCUCGUGCGCUCGGAUUAGGGUUGAUCAAGCUGCCCGCAGCUCCGAUGCUGCCCUCGCCGGGGAUGACUCCAAUCCAUUCGUGGCCAACACGCUACUCCAAGUGUGGUGCCCUCGCACCGUCUUCGACAAGAUGCCCCAGCGCGGCAUCGACGUUGCACGGACGGUGGCCAUGGCGACAUGGUCCUGGAGCUCAAAUGCAGGCUGACGGCUGGCAGCCCAAUGCUCAAACUUUCAUCGCCGCGCUCAAGGCUUGCUCCAGCAUCGCUGCAAAGGAGGAGGCCCAGCACGAGCUCGCUCCACAAAGGUAUGGCUCUUCACGCGAAAGCUUCCAAGUGUGGGUUUGACACUGAUGGUUUCGUGGCUAGCAUGUAUAUCGAGUGUGGGAUCGCGAGGGUUUUGGAGGGGUCAAACAC
rnacentral:lncRNA from 1 species